AAAUUUUGAAGAAUUGAUAGAAUCCAGGUAAAAAAUUGUGCGUUUAUGAAGAAUUACCCAUGGAUGAAAGAGAAAUUAAAGAGAUGGAACGGUGGCCAUGGCCGGCGGCAUAGGUGCGGGUACCCUAGGAUGGAUCAAAUCAAAGCGGUACCCUAUCCACGACGGCACUUCCAUUCCAUCGUCGUCCCCGGUAAACAUCCGCCAUUAUAAAUACCGCCGAAGCUCUCACUCCCACUCCCACGCGCCCCCGGCCAAAGACCAAAAGCCCCUCUCCUUUUCCGCCAUUAAAAUACUCCGCCCGGAAGAAACUCCCCGAAGCACCAGUGACCGCGCUAGGCUGCUAGCGUUGCGUAUUGGUGGUUGGUGCUUUGGUGGUGGUAUAUCGGGUUUCGCGCGCCUGCGGCGGCCGGUGUAGCCUUUGGGAGGUAGUAGUGCCCGGGUGGGGGAUGUACGGCGCGCCGCUGUCCAAGGACCUCAACCUGCCAGCCCAGCAGCACCCGGCGGCGAACGGCGUNNNNNNNNNNNNNNNNNNNNNNNNNNNNNNNNNNNNNNNNNNNNNNNNNNNNNNNNNNNNNNNNNNNNNNNNNNNNNNNNNNNNNNNNNNNNNNNNNNNNAAAGAUUGCGUUUGUUUCCGGUGAGAAUCUCAUAUGGGGUCUUGUUCAAGCCUUUGCGGAUAUAGAGCCGAUUGGAUGCAUGACAUGCUGUGUUGAUGGCUUCGACCCAAAAGUUAUAUGGAGAUUUCAAUUCCGCCAUCAUUGUUCUUGCAGCGUCCAUCAGUGUCCGGUUCUUCCUUUCCGCCACACCAUUUUGUUGAGGGGUAUAUGGUGCCGAAUAUUGAUGUUUUAUUCCCUCAUCACCUCGAAACUCAUCCAAGGUGUAGUUCUUGAACUCGGUGCCGUUGUCACUUCUGAUCAUCAAAAUCUUUGCUUCAUGUUGACGUUGACCUUCGUUAGCAAAGUUGAUAACAGUUUGUUGAGUCUCACUCUUCCUCUUAAAGAAAUAUACCCACGUGUAUCUUAAGUAAUCAUCAAUAAUCACCAAGAAGUACUUUCUGCCCCCAAGACUAUCAAAUGAUGGGGGACCGAAGAGAUCCAUAUGAAGGAGCUCCAGCGGUCUCUUAGUGUAAAUGAGAGUCGUUGGACGAUGAGCAGUUUCAUGGAUUUUUCCUUCGAUGCACGCACUGCAAGCACGAUCUCUGCCAAAACUCACAUUUGUUAGUCCACGAAUAUGGUCCCCUUUGAGGAGACUUUGCAAAGAUCUCAUAUUGACAUGAGCUAGUCGGCGAUGCCAAAGCCAACCCACAUCAACUUUAGCCAUUAGACACGUCGCAGUCUUAGUGGGUCGCUUUGAAAAGUUCACCACAUAGAGACCAUUUUCGACAUAUCCAACAUAGACUACUUUAAGAGUCUUGCUCCAAAAAAGGACCAUAGUAUCAAGAUUAAAGAAUGUGGAAAAGCCCAUAAUUGCAAGUUGACGAACCGAAAGUAAAUUAUAAGCAAGGGACUCUACAAGCAUGACCUUCUCAAUAGAUAACUCUUGAGAGAUGACCACCUUACCAAAUCCCAAUACCUUUGAUGAUGAUGCAUCGGCGAAUUGGACAUGGGUGGGCAUAGAUGGGGAAGGAUGCACAUCCACCACUAAGUCCUUGCUUCCGAUCAUAUGAUUUGUUGCUCCACUAUCGAGCAACCAUGACACCCCACCGGAAGAAAACUCCUGCAAUAGAUCAAGGCUUGGUUUUAGGUACCCAUUUUUGAAUGGGUCCUUUAAUGUUAGAGACAAGGGUCUUAGGAACCCAAAUAGCACAUUCAAUGUACUCAUAGUAAGAACCAACAAAUCUGGCAUAAACAUGCCCAUCACCAGCACGACAUAAAACAUAGGAAGGAUUUAGUUCGCCCGCUGUGUUGGUAGGAAUGGUUUUGCCCUUCUUGAUGCUCCCAUUUUCCACCUUGUUCCUCUUCACCUCCUGAUGGGGUUAUAAUCCUAGGGUAGGGUCAUAGGUCUGCCCUAUAAGUCCUACCCAAGGACUACCCUUCAUAAGGGAUAAGACCCUUAAUCAGUUCCGACUGAAUUAAGGACAUCCCAUCAUCCAGUCGGUAACGAAUCCUCCACCAUCCAGUCGGAGAUGAGCAUUCGGAGUAUAUCAAACUAACCGCCUGGAUUCCACUCUGGGCAUCGUAACCCCCCUAGAGGGAAAUGGUCGUACGUUUCCAUGUACAUUUAUUAGCAUUUAAGACGUACAUUACCUGUAACGUAGGCAUUUAUUCGCCACUCCUCCACCCCUGUGCAUCGAACCGUUGUGGAGGGCAGCGCUCUCUACAUAAGCUGCCCUCCCCCACUGGUGCAGGGGUGAGCAAUUCACUGUAAUCCGUAUUCCACUCGACAACAAGCUCCUAGAGUGCUGAGACGUAGGGCUAUUACCUCCACCGUAGAGGGGCCCGAACUCAUACAACAUCGCCGUAGCUAAGGCUCUGCCCAUCCUUUCGUACCCUACACAUCUACUGUCAGACUUAUACCCACGACAGUUGGCGCCCACCAUGGGGCAGGCGUCUAAGCGACUUCCGGCGAGUUUGCGACUACAUCUUUUCGCCAUGUCAUCUGGUGGAGAUUCGAGCAUGGGUCACGAGAUCCUCUUCGGCGCUAUCUCCUUCAUCAUCGACGAUUCGGCAUGGCUUCGGGACGCCCCUCUCGAUGUCGAGGCGCUCCCCCAUCGCGGAGCUACGCACUUCCGUGCUGGCGCCCGCGGCAUUCUUCUUCUCCAGCAGUCGGCUCCGGUGUCGACCUAAAUCGCCGUCACGCGCCGCAACAAGCGGUCCCGCCGUCCGCGGCUCCAGCAUUGGUGCAACACGCCCAAGCACGCCAGAACGCGUCUUCACAGGUGGCGGUCCUAGAGUCGGUUGUGGUUGCCCCGCCGUCCCAGCGCUCGGACUCGGUUCCGACUGAGUUUCCUUCCGAGUACUUGGGUCGCGGGCCUGCAGCAGAAGUACACAUGGCCAACUCCCAUGAAAGUCCCCGCCAAACUGGCCGGAACGAGCGCGAGAUCGGUGAAACAUCCGACGCCCGCCGUCCACCUCGCAGUUCUGCCAGUCGGCACACUCGGCGGAGCGACGUGGAGUUGUUCCGCACACCCAUCCUCAACUUGGCUGCCGCUGCCAAGAUAGCCGAUUCCCUUCGGCCGACUGAUUCACAGGCUAGCAGGGGGAUCGAGCAAUUCCGCGCCCUGCUGCACACGGCGCAGUAGCAAAACUCGGUGGUCUCUCAGUCACACAACAGGAUCCACAAUAGUUCUGUUCAUGCGAACACGCAUCGGUCAGUUCACAACCCUGGUUCUCAUCAGCGACCCAGGGGAGGCAGCUGCUCCGUGAAUCCCGAAGGUCGUCGCCGUUCACGCACCCCUCCGCGAGGUGGGCCUUACGGGCCCCGACAUCAUGAUGAUCGGCGUUCAAUCGAUGACACUUACGAUCCAAGGCCCGACGCGAGAGGGCAUAUCGCCCAGCGUAGGGUCGACAGGGGCCGAGCCCACCGCGAUGGUAACGAUAUUGACCGUCCGAGUGGAAGCAGGACCAUCGUUUCUGGUCCCGAGUGUUUCAGUCGAGCCAUCCGUUCGGCUGACAUCCCUCCCAACUUCCGAUUGGCGACGGGGAUCAGCAAGUUUACAGGAGAGUCCAAGCCAGAAACGUGGAUGGAUGACUACCGAGUGGCAGUCCAGAUCGGAGGAGGGGACGACCACAUCGCCAUGAAGCACCUCCCUCUGAUGCUCGAUGGCUCGGCGCGAGCAUGGCUGAACCAAUUGGCCCCCUCAAGCAUCUACAGCUGGGCAGAUCUGGCCCGAGUAUUCAUCAGGACCUUCGGAGGGAUGUGCAAACGCCCUGCUGGCCUCGUGGAGCUCCAGCACUGCGUCCAGAAGCAGAAUGAGCCCCUGCGCGAUUUCAUUCAGCGUUGGACGACCCUCUACCACAUGGUGGAGAACGUCAGAGAGCACCAAGGAGUCUGCGCCUUCAAGGCAGGCGUGCGGUACAGAGAUCUGUACCUGAAGUUUGGUCGAACAGGCGAUAUCUCCAUGAGCAAGAUGAUGGAGAUAGCGGCACGCUAUGCAAAUGGCGAAGAAGAGGACCGCAUCCGCAGCGGCAAGCACAAAACAGUCGCCGACGGAGAUGGGAAUAACACUCGGAAACAGAAGCAGAAAGUUCCGUCCACUCCGCAGGCAGAAGCCGCAGCUGUUACCAAUGCCAAGUUCAAGGGCAAGGGGAAGGCUCAGUUCACCCCCAAGAAGAAGCAGUUCAACAACCCCAUCUUGGACCAGCCAUGUCCGAUUCACACGAAGAUGGAUGAAGAGGGCAACGCCAUAUAUCCGAAGCAUACAACUCGGCAAUGUCGCCUCCUGAUCUAGGGGUUCGGCGACGGGCAACCGAGUGAAAAGGGCAAUGAGCAAGAUGAGGAGGACAAGGAGGAUCCGUUCCCCCAAGUCCAUGCAACACUGAUGAUUUUUGCUGACGUUGAGAGCAAGAGUCGACUGAAGCUGGUGAACAGGGAGGUGAACAUGGCCAUGCCGACCAACCCCACGUUUCUCAAAUGGUCUCAGACUGCGAUUACCUUUGACCAGUCGGAUCUUCCAGCACACGUGCCCACCCCACGGAGGCAAGCUGUGGUCGUCGACCCGGUGGUGGAAGGAGUCCGACUGCGCAAAGUCCUCAUGGACGGCGGCAGUGGUUUGAACAUCAUGUACGCUGACACUCUCAAAGGGAUGGGCAUUCCGAUGUCCAAACUUAGCGAGAGCAGCAUGCAUUUCCACGGAGUCAUCCCUGGACGAAAGGCCAAGUCACUCGGCCAGAUCGUGUUGGACGUCGUUUUUGGCUCCGACAAGAACUUCCGCAAGGAAAAGCCGACGUUCGAGGUGGUGGACUUCCAGAGCGCUUACCACACAAUUCUGCGCCGCCCGGCGUAUGCGCGUUUCAUGGCCCGUCCAUGUUACGUAUACCUGAAGCUGAAGAUGCCAGGCCCGAAAGGUGUGAUAACUAUCACAGGCAAUCGACAGCGGGCCGAGGAGUGUCUGCAGCAGGGAUCAAGAAUCGCCGAUCAGCAGAUGGACGUCCUCGAGCUUGAUGAGUACAAGAAAACAGUCGACCCCGCUGAUUUGAUGCGUUCGAAGAAGCCAGCUUCAGAGUCCGCAUUCCAGUCGGCGGGAGAGACGAAGAAGGUCAGCAUCCACCCAACGGACGACACCGCUGCCCCGACGAACAUCUCCACCACCCUCGAUCCUAAAUAGGAAGUCGAGCUCAUCCAAUUCCUCCGUAAGAACUGGGACAUCUUUGCAUGGAAGCCUUCUGACAUGCCAGGUGUACCCAGGGAGUUGGCUGAGCACCGACUGCACGUGGAUCCCGCCGCUCGGCCUGUCCGAGAAUGCAUGCGCCGGUCUGCCGCGCACAAGAGGAAGGCAAUCGGGGAAGAGGUGGCCAAGCUUUUGGCAGCCAACUUCAUUCGUGAGGUUCACCACUCCGAGUGGCUCGCCAAUGUUGUCAUGGUGCCCAAGAAGGAUAAGUCGCUCCGAAUGCGCAUCGACUUCAAGCAUCUCAAUAAGGUCUGCCCGAAAGACCACUUUCUGCUCCCCCGCAUCGAUCAAAUUGUCGAUUCGACUGCGGGUUGCGAGCGUUUGUCAUUUCUUGAUGCCUACUCGGGCUAUCAUCAGAUCCGUCUGUAUGGCCCCGAUGAAUUAAAAACAGCCUUCAUCACCCCAUUCGGGUGCUUCUCCUACAUCACUAUGCCAUUUGGUUUGAAGAAUGCAGGAGCAACCUUUAUGCGCAUGAUCCAAAAAUGCCUUCUCGACCAGAUCGGUCGGAAUGUGGAGGCGUAUAUGGAUGAUAUCAUAGUCAAGUCAUGCAAAGGUUCCGACCUGCUAAGUGACUUGGCAGAAACAUUCGCCAACCUUUGUAGGUACGAUAUCGAGCUCAACCCAGCCAAGUGUUCAUUCGGUGUUCCCACCGGAAAGUUACUCGGUUUCUUCGUUUCCGAACAAGGGAUCGAUGUCAACCCCGAAAAGAUUGGGACCAUCGUCCGAAUGGAGCGGCCGGUCAGAAUACACGAUGUUCAAAGGCUCACAGGUUUCCUAGCGGCUUUGAUCAGGUUUAUCAGUCGACUCGGCGAGAAGGCACUUCCUCUAUACCGACUCAUGAAAAAAUCAGACACCUUCGAGUGGACAGACGAAGCCCAAGUCGCAUUCGACGACCUCAAAGUCCUACUUUCCACCCAGUCGGUUCUUACUGCUCCGUUCAGUAAAGAGCCCCUUCUUCUGUACAUCGUGGCUACAAAUCAAGUCGUCAGCACUGUUCUCACAGUCGAACGAGAAGAAGAAGGCAAAGCAUACAAAGUUCAGCGGCUAGUGUAUUACGUCUCCGAAGUCCUGACUCCUUCGAAGCAGAGGUAUCCCCACUAUCAAAAACUUAUUUACGGGAUUUACAUGACUCCGAAGAAGGUGGCUCACCAUUUCCAAGACCACUCGGUGUCCGUCAUUUCUGAUGCUCCGUUGUCGGAAAUCCUCUACAAUCGGGACGCAUCAGGCCGAGUGGCGAAGUGGGCAAUGGAGAUGUUGUACUGCCACAUCAAGUUAGAGGCCAAGAAAGCUAUAAAGUCUCAAGCUCUGGCUGACUUCAUAGCAGAAUGGGUAGAACAACAGCAACCGACCCACAUCUACUCGGCUCAUUGGACAAUGUUCUUCGAUGGGUCCAAGAUGUUAAACGGCUCCGGCGCUGGCGUUGUGAUCAUAUCGCCAAAGGGCGACAAACUCAAGUAUGUGCUGCAGAUACACUUUGAUUCCUCCAACAAUGAGGCAGAGUAUGAAGCUCUCCUUUACGGAUUGCACAUGGCCAUCUCACUCGGCGUCCGUCGCCUGAUGGUCUAUGGCGAUUCAGAUUUGGUGGUCAAUCAAGUGAUGAAGGAGUGGGACGUCAGGAACCCCACCAUGACCACGUACUGCAAUGCAGUGAGGAAGCUUGAGAAAAAGUUUGAAGGUUUGGAACUCCACCACGUUCCGCGACUGAAAAACCAAGCAGCUGAUGAGUUGGCAAAACUCGGAUCUACUCGGAGACCAGUUCCGAGUGACGUCUGCCUCGAGCACCUCCACCUUCCCUCAGUUAAAGAAGAUCCCUUCACAGAGGAACCAGUACAACCAAAGAGCUCGACGGACCCGACUGAAGUCGAAGUACCUGCCGUGGUUGAUUUGAUCAUGGAGAUUCUUGCUGUCAUCCCCGAGAGGACUGUGCCAUUCAUUGCAUACAUCCUGAGGCAAGAAUUACCGGAAGACGAAGUCCAAGCCAGACAGAUCGUCCGCAGGUCAAAGUCGUUCACUGUCAUUGACGGCCAGUUGUACAAGGAAAGCAUUUCUGGCGUCCUUCAACGAUGCAUCUCCCCUGAGGAGGGACAGUUGAUCCUGGAAGAAAUUCACUCGGGAACCUGCGGCCAUCACGCCUCUUCAAGAGCAAUCGUCGCCAAAGCAUUCAGAGCUGGCUUCUUCUGGCUGCAGGCGAACGAAAUGGCUAAAGAUAUGGUCGACCGAUGUGAAGGCUGUCAGUUCUACUCCAACAAGUCCCACAAGCCAACAUCCGCGUUGAAGACAAUCCCUCUUGUUUGGCCGUUUGUAGUAUGGGGAUUAGAUACAGUCGGUCCAUUCAGGACAGGCCAAGGGGGAUACACACAUCUGUUGGUGGCAGUCGACAAAUUCACAAAGUGGAUCGAAGCCAAGCCCAUCAAGAAGCUCGAUGCUCUAACGGCCAUCAAGUUUGUCAGGGACAUCAUCUCCAGAUUCGGGGUACCUCACAGUAUAAUCACUGACAACGGAACAAACUUUGACUCGGACAGAUUCAAAGGUUUCUGUACAGGCCAAGGUAUCCGAGUGGAUUUUGCAUCUGUGGCGCAUCCCCAAACAAACGGGCAAGCAGAGCGGGCGAAUGGACUUAUUCUGCAAGGUUUGAAGCCUCGACUCCUGCGAGAGGUGGGACAUGCUGCUGGUGCAUGGGUCACCGAGCUACCUUCGGUGCUCUGGGGUCUCCGCACAACCCCAAAAAGAUCUACAGGGCGAUCCCCGUUCUUUCUCGUUUACAGAGCAGAGGCAGUCCUUCCGAGUGACUUGCUUCACAAUGCUCCACGAGUUGAACUCUUCUCCGAAGCUGAAGCAGAACAAGCAAGGCAAGACGGAGUGGAUCUUCUAGAGGAGGAGCGCGAGAUGGCACUGACUCGCUCAACAAUUUAUCAACAAGAUCUGCGGCGCUUUCACGCGUGACAUGUCAGGAGUCGUACAUUCCAAGCAGGCGACCUGGUGCUCCGAGUGGAUCAGCAGAGACCUCAUAAGUUGGCUCCCACCUGGGAAGGACCCUUCAUCAUCUCCAAGGUGCUGAACAACGGAGCAUACCGACUCUACAACAUCGACAGGGAAACGGAUGAGCCGCGAGCAUGGAACGGAGAUCUCCUGAAGCGCUUCUACACGUGACCGUCGACUGAAGCAAUGUAAAGAACAAGUACUGGUGAAAUAAUACAAAGUAGAUUGAGUUUUUUUUCUUUUCAGAUUCAAAAUUCUUCCGCGGUCGUAGACUCCGGUCUCAAAAAAAAACUUAGCUGCGAUCCAGAAUCGCCUAAGUAUUAACUUUCUCCGAGUGUGCACUUAACGUCGCACUCGGGGACUUAGCUGCGAUCAAGAAUCGCCUAAGUACAAAUUUUCUUCGAGUGUGCACUAAACGUCGCACUCGGGGACUUAGCUGCGAUCCAGAGUCGCCUAAGUACUAACUUUCUCUGAGUGUGCACUAAACAUCACACUCGGGGACUUAGCUGCGAUCAAGAAUCGCCUAAGUACAAACUUUCUCCGAGUGUGCACUAAACGUCGCACUCGGGGACUUAGCUGCGAUCACGAAACGCCUAACUACACACUUUCUCCGAGUGUGCACUUAACGUUGCACUCGAGGACUUGUUUGCGAUCAAGAAUCGCUUAAAUAGAAAGCUUCCUUCGAGUGUAUCUCACAGAUCCACUCGGAGGCUUAGCAGACCCUCAUUGAGGCUCAUGUAGAUGUAAAGAUCACUGACAAUUACAUGAGUAGCAGACCCUCAUUGAGGCCCAUGUAGAUGUCAAGACCACUGACAAUUACAUGAGUAGCAGACCCUCAUUGAGGCUCAUGUAGAUGUCAAGACCACUAACAAUUACAUGAGCAGAAGAACCUCAUUGAGGCUCAUGUAGAUGUCAAGACCACUGACAAUUACAUGGGUAACAACUCGCUCUGAGUACGACCUCACAGUCGCACCCGAAGACUUAGCCGCGAUCCCGAAUCGCCUAAGUACUCUAUUGCUUUCGAGUGUAUCUUACAGAUCCACUCGGAGGCUUAGCAGACCCUCAUUGAGGCUCAUGUAGAUGUCAAGACCACUGACAAUUACAUGAGUAACAACUCGCUCUAGGUGCGACCUGACAGUCACACUCGAAGACUUAGCCGCGAUCACGAAUCGCCUAAGUACUCUAUUGCCUUCGAGUGUAUCCUACAGAUCCACUCGGAGACUCAGCAGACCCUUAGUGAGGCUCAUGCAGAUGUCAAGACAACUGACAAUUACAUGCUCCGCAUGUUUUCCAUUGGCUUCACCAAGAAACGCCAAACAAAAAACACGAGCCAAAAUCGUAUCAACAACUCUUUGGCAAAAGAAGAGCAAAAGAUUCGAUUCAAAUUCAAAGUUCACCUAAAGAUAGUUGGCUUGGUGUAAAUCAAGCUUACCCACACCGAACCAAGAAUGUGACGGCCAACAGCAGUGGCCAAAGUUUCUUACACCCAACACUCGGCAUACCGAGGUAAAAGUUUUCUCAAACGACAUCAGGACUGGCGCUGGGACUGGCAGGCUCUACGAAUGUGUCGAGGUCGAUCCCGUCGGCGAUGCGAGUGGCGCUCUCAAGGAAGGUCUCCAUGAAGUCUUCGAAUCGAAGCUUUUUCGUGUUGGCGACCUACAACGCCUUCAGCUUCUCUUCGCGAGCCUCCUUGCAGUGCACUCGGACCAAAGACAGAGCGACGUCCACACCACAGCGAGCCGCAGACUUCUUCCACGCCUGCACUCGGUUCAGGACCUCCUCCAACCGAGUCAUCAAGCCUUCCAUCUCGUGCCGAGACUCGUCUUCAGGCCAAAGCUCCUUGUCGAUUCGGCCGACGACUUCUCUAAGUCGACCGAUGAAAGGUCCAACUUUGCCCAGACGAAUGUGCGCUCGGAGCAGAUCUCGGUUGGCGUCCUCGCCGAGUGGAAUGUUCUCAAGAAUCGACCGCUCAAUGUCAGAUGCUUCCACCUCAGCGUCCAUGCAAAAAUCUGCAAAGACAGGACGAGCAAACAAUAAGCGCCGAAUUAAAUGCACAGUCCACAAGCACUCGGAAAAACAGAACUUACCACCCAGAAGCGCUAUCAUCUUCCGGGCCCAGUCACUGACAUAUUUUUCCUGUGCUAUACACCGCCUGUUCAACACUUUCAUUUGUCCCAUCAGCUCGGUCCUUUGCUUCCCCAUUUUCUCCACUUCAGCAGUCAAUGCCUUGUUUGCCUCACGGGCCUGCUCCAAGGACUUUUCUCGUUCCGCCAGAACAUCCUUCAUACCAGCCAUUGCAACCAUCACUGCAUCCAGUUCCCCAGCGAACUGCACCUUUUCCGCCCUCAGAGUCUCGUACGCUGCUCCCAUCUCGCAAGUUUUCUGCAAGUCAGCGCCAACAGAAGAUCAGAAAAAUUCAACAAAGACAACAAUAAAAAUCCUAAGUUCUUCAGACCCCUGCCAACGCAAGCAGUCGACAGCGGUCUCGGGGACUACACCCAGUGGGUUCACUAAGAGUGGCCCCAUUGGCAUGAACCUCAAACAGGUCCGCCCUAUUGAGGUACAUGACAAAAAAAACAAGCCUAUGAGGUUCCUUCUACCCGACCUGAGUACAAUUACUCUCGGGGACUCAUCCAGUAGGUGCACUCGGAGUGCCCCCACUGCUAACAUUCGAGCAGAAUAGUUUUUAAUCUCAUCAAGUUAAAUAAAAAGUAUAAAGACAACUGCCGGUGCAAGCACUCGACAGAAGUCUCGGGGACUACACCCACUGGGUUCACUAAGAGUGAACCCACUGCAAAAAAUCAUACAAUAUCCGAGUGCAUUGCUCAAACACCCACUGGGUUACAAGAGGAAAGUAAAUACUUACUACCCACUUACUCGGAUAUCGUCCCGCAGUUCCAAGCUUCACUUGUACAAGGACGCGAUGGAGUCGUACGCUUUCUUGGCUUCUCCCGCCAUCAGCUCCGCCUGCACCAUGGCUCCCUUGGCAGCUCCCACCUGAUCUUCCGGGAGGCGCUGGACGUUGUACUCGACGGUCGACAGGCCUGGCAUCGUAGGAGGCUCCUUGGGCAUCCCAAGGCCUGCUCCAGUCGGUUCAGCAGCAACCAGCGCCGUCUCAGUCGACGACAUCACCUCAAUCGGCGGCGCGUCCAUGGCGAGAGUAGUAACCGGCGGAACAGCCUCAAGGACGGGCACCGCAACUUGCUCAGACCUCCCUUGGUCGCCCUCUUCCACAUAAAUCACCCCUGAGGGAAACCCGAAUGAACGGCGUGAGAUCACAGAAAAAAAAGGCAAGACCAAUGACAUAAUUCGUGAUGGAAUAAUGUAAACUCUCGGAAUCGCUACGAUGCACCUGGCUGGGAUGUGACAACGUUGUCCAUGUCCAUGGGAUCAUCCCCCUGGCGUGCCGGAGAGGUGGCAGAGGUGGCAACUCUGUCGAGUGAAAUUCAUUCGACCAAUAAGCAGGAGUUCAAUCGAAUACCAGAAGAAGUUAGAAGAACAAUGCACUUACGUUGAGGUGACGGGAACGGUGACCCUCAUCCGCGGCAAAGCCUUCCGAGGUUUAGAUCCACUCGGUUUGGCCACCUUAGAGGGUUGACCCGCAGGCUCAGCAGCAGCGUCCCUGGUCCUCUUGGUGCUCCGAGCACUCGGAAUGACGGGAACAGUUGGCGGGGCGCUCGGAACCACAAGAGCGGCUGGCGGGGCACUCGAGGAUGCUGGAGGGGCCGAAGGAGCCGCGGAUUCAUGUCGGCGUUUGGUUCGAAGCUCUGGCGGCGGGGGUGGCGAGUUCUGCUCUUCAUCUUCCUCAGACUCCUCCUCCGUCUCCCCACUGUCGGAGACGUACUCGACGCUCUCCACGCUGCCCUCCUGGCUGCCCUCCUCCUCCUACUCGACCGGAUUCCCGUUCGAGAUAGGAGAGAACCAGUUGGUCCACUUCUGCACAAGAUACAGUCGACGACAUCAGACGUCAGACAGUGAUUCAAGAAAGCGAUAAAUCUUAGACAGUGGUGUGCACUCGACAAGUUGUACUCACCUCGUUCGGAGGAGGGUUGUCCGCGCGGAAAGCCUUUACUCGCCGGGACCCUCUGGGGUUUUCGCAGGCGCCUGUGAUGUUGAGCACCCACAACGCCACCGUCUCCCCGGUCACGCAUUCGACGUUGAUCCGAGUGGAGUCCUCAGGCCCCGUGUAGUGUCACAUGGCAUGGUGUCAAACCUGCAGUGGCUGGAUGCGCCGGCCGAGGAAAACCUCCAGCAAAUUUAUGUCGGUGACUCCCCUUCGGACAACAUCCACGAGUGCGUCGACCAGAGGAUGGAUAUGGAUCUUCUCCGCCUUCGUGAGCGCGAGCUGCUUAGGCGGAGCUGGUCGAUCUAAGCUAAAAGGAGGCAACCCUGUCGUGGCAUUCGGGCAAGCAACGUCCUGGCAGUAGAACCAUGUGGACUGCCAGUUCCUAACCGAUUCACUCAGCUGAAGAGCGGGAUAACUACUUUUGCUCUUCUCUUGGAAGCCUAAGCCUCAGCAGAGCUGGAGAAGGUGAGUUUUAUCAUCCGACUGGUUAAGUCGUUUGAUGGUUUGGGAUCUAGCAGAGAAGAUGUGUUUGAAAAGCCCCCAAUGGGGAGGACAGCCGAUGAAACACUCGCACAAGACUACGAAGGCAGAGAGAUGAGCUAUGGCAUUCGGUGGAAAGUGGUGGAGCUGCGCCCCGAAGUGGUUCAUUAUGCCUUUGAAGAAGGGAUGUGGGGGCAGAGAGAAACCUCGGUGCACGUGGCUGAGCAGCAGGACGCGCUCCCCCUCCCGGGGCGCCGGCUUGGUCUCGUCCUCCGUCUGCAACCUCCACGACUUGUGCGCAAUCAUCCUGUGCUCCACCAACUCCAGCAGGUUCUCCUCCGUCACCGUGGAGGGGAGGAAGUCCCCCUGGAUCCACCCCGUCGGUAACGUUCGCUGCCUCCGCUGAGCAGGAGCCGCCGCCUUCCCCUUCUUCUUCCGCGCCUCUAGCUUGCUAGUCUGUCCCUUUGUCAUGGCGGAGGCUGCGGAUUCGUAAGGGAGAAGGAGAGGGAAGGAGCUUGGGGCGUGCAGAGGUUGGCGAGGGAAGCGGAGCAAAGGCAAGUUAUCCGGCGAGUGUAACGAAAAAACCCUCGCCGCUGAGGUUUAAAUAAGGUUCCGACUGGGCCACUGGCAAGUGGCCCCGAAAUCUUAUCCCCCGACCGGUCGCGGCGAUAUCAGUGGAGAAGAUGAAGGCGCGGGAAUCGAGGCAUCAGGUACUACUCGAGCGCGAUGUCGUCAUCCUCGCUGAGCGCGCGGCAACCGAAAUUUGAGGAUCCCAGAAAAUCUGUCGCUGUCAGUUGACUGGUCACGUCAGAAUAUACCAUGGAAGCACUCGGUUCCCGACAGUUCGUUUCACAAAUACUUUCACUCGAAUCGUUGGUCAAAGAAGAUAAAAUGGAUCGAGGCAAGCAACGCCAAAGUCGCAUCCGUACCAGUCGGAUCCAUACUUCAAGCAUCGCUUCGUCGUUCCAACCCCAAUCCAUUCACGGACUAAUGAUGGGUUAUAGUCCUAGGGUAGGGUCAUAGGUCUGCCCUGUAAGUCCUACCCAAGGACUACCCUUCAUAAGAGAUAAUACCCUUAGUCAGUUCCGACUGAAUUAAGGACAUCCCAUCAUCUAGUCGGUAACGAAUCCUCCACCAUCCAGUCGGAGAUGAGCAUUCGGAGUAUAUCAAACUAACCGACUGGAUUCCACUCGGUGCAUUGUAACCCCCCUAGAGGGAAACGGUCGUACGUUUCCACGUACCUUUAUUAGCAUUUAAGACGUACAUUACCUGUAACGUAGGCAUUUAUUCGCCACUACUCCACCCCUGUGCAUCGAACCGUUGUGGAGGGCAGCGCACUCUACAUAAGCUGCCCUCCCCCACUGGUGCAGGGGUGAGCAAUUCACUGUAAUCCGUAUUCCACUCGACAACAAGCUCCCAGAGCGCUGAGACCUAGGGCUAUUACCUCCAUCGUAGAGGGGCCCGAACUCAUACAACCUCGCCGUAGCUAAGGCUCUGUCCAUCCUUUCGUACCCUACACAUCUACUGUCAGACUUAUACCCACGACACCUCCUGAGUCCCUUCGCCCUCUUUGACAAAGAUGUCCUUGCGGGUGGGGGAUCGGUUGUUCCAGUUCUUCCUUUUUCUUUUAGACUUGGAUGUAAGUCCAAGCCCCUAUUUUCCUACCACACCCUUUUGAUUGCUUAAAAGGUCGUUCAGGCUCUUCUUACCUUGGAUGCAUGACACAAGGCCCUUCUCAAGUUUAUCCUUCAACUUGGCAUUUUCCUCCACAAGAUGAACAUGCUCACAACAAGGGUUAGUUGUACAAGCAUUAUCAAUUAAAACAAAAGGAGGACAAGUAGAGAUUUCCUUGGUAAGCUUUGCUUGGAGUUGAUCAUGAGACUCUUUCAGGGAGAAAUGACUACCUUUCAAGACCUUGUGAGCCUUGUCAAGUGUGUCAAACUCCAUUUUGAGUCUGUCAUGGUCAACCCCCACAACAUCCUUUUCAGACUUAAGCAUACGAGUAAGAACAGUAGCAUGAUCUAGUUUCUUUUGCCAUUUAGCGCAGUCAUCGUUGUAUGAGUCCUGAGGAGCCAAACGAAGAGUGCACUCCUUUUCUAGUGCAAUAGAAAGUUCAGCAAUCUCAUCGACAUAGUUACGACUAUGACCUUGCAUCUCGAAGAUGGUCUCCUCAUGAGACUCGAUGAGGUCAUUAGCCUCACCCAGUUGUUCCAAAAGGGCAACAAAGUGCCUCUUGGUUUCUCCUUUGAUAGUAUACAGAAAUUUGUCAAGAUCAUGCUCAUUAAGUUCCACAACAUCACUAUCAUCAACACAAUUCAACAAUGAGGGAUCACUAGUGAUGUUGGUCUUAAUGGUGGGUGUUACCUGAUUGAUACCUUUGGCCAUGAGGCACUUGGCGAUGUGAUUAUCGUUGGGGGUGUUGAAGAGAGACACAUUCUUGGGAGAAGGGGUGGCGAUAGCUACACUCGCAGUUGCCACCAUAUCAUCAUCAUCAUCAUCAUCAUCGGAGGGGUACUCUUCAAGCGCCACCAUACCCUUUGGAUGGGGUUUCUUAACAAAGUUGUUCUUGCUUGGGAAUGACUUUGUUUUGUCUUUGCGAAUGAGCUUGCCUCCGUUGUCUUCCCUUUUCUCAUAGGGACAUUCCACCGCGAAGUGGCCCACAUUACCGCAGUUAUAGCAUGUCCUUACUUGUUGCUUGGGUUUGAACCCACUUGAGUUGUUCUUGGUGAAGUUGGGUCUUGAGUUCCUCUUGUUGCCCCAGAAUUGCCUUGACGCAAGAGCCAUGUGCUCGUGAUAAGCAUACUUAGUGUCUUCAGGGCAGCUCUCCUCUUCCUCAUCCUCCUCUUCUUGUUCAGAAGCAACAUUUGCCUUCAAAGCAAGGUUAGGUGAAGCUGUCUUUGACCAAACUUGAGCAAGUGCAUUGUCAGCGGUCUCGUUCAUGAUUGACACUGCAAUGAAUUCAUCCAACACCUCACUGGUAGACAAGGAGUGGAAAUCUGGUCGUUGGCGAAUGACUGAUGACAUGGCUUUGUUGAAAGGCAAGAUGGCCUUGAGAAACUUGCGCUUGAUCCAUGUGUCAUCCACAUCCUUGCUCCCAUGAUCCUUGAGAGCAACAUCAAUAGCAGUCACCCUCCGAUAGAGAUCACGAGGGUCCUCAUCUUCAUUCAUUACAAACUCAUCAGCCUUAUCAAGUACCACUUCAUAGUUUGACCAUUGAAUGCUUGAGCUUACCUUGUAUAGCACCAUAAUGUGCUCCCAACAGUCCUUAGCUAGAGUAAAGGGGCGCAAGUGAGGAAGAUCUUCAGACGGUACUGCUGAUUGUAGAAUAAACAAUGCGGAGUGAUUAUAUUGAUUGUCUGCUUCUUCUCUUGGAGUGAGGUUGCUUGGGUCAUGAGGAUAGUAGCCUUGCUCGAUGAUUCUCCAUAAAUUUGUUGAGCGGUGAUUCAAAUGAGACUUAAUAGAAAACACCCAGUUAGCAAAAUCACCCUUAACAAGCUUAGGAGGAGGACCAACAGGGUUAAGACGUUGUGUGGGAACAGGUCCUCCAUAGACCAUGGGAGGUGGAACUGAGGCAUAGGUUCCAGUCCCAUCCUUUUCGAGAGAAGAGGAAGGUCGCAUACCUUUAGCCGCUUCCUUAGAGGAAUUGGCCUCCGAAUCGGUGUUGGUGGGUUUAACCACCAACGCCGGUUCGGGUGAACUUUUAAUUCCCUCAAUUAACUCUUUAAGCAUGGUCUUGACUUCGUUCGUCAAGGACGUCUUGAGGGCGGCCAUAGCCGUAGUAAAGUCGUCCCUUGUGACCGAAGUCAAGUCCAUGGCCUCGGGUUGCCCAUGGGGAACUCCCUCUUCGCCUUCCAUACUCUUCGGGUGGUGAAACCUUUAAUAAAGAGACGUGGCUCUGAUACCAAUUGAAAGGAUCGAUAUGGUUGACUAGAGGGGGGCAGCAUUUCCGAAUAUUCUCCUCUAGGCACAAGAUGACUCGACGCCCCUCGGAGGAUCUCCAAGCUCUUCCACCAAGUAAUCCAACUAGCAUCAACUACAAAGAGUAAUGCAAUCAUAAAGGUUCACUAAUAUGACACUAGGUGGACAACCUAUAUGAUGCUACUUAGCAACGAGUAAAGAAGCACGUAAGAGAUACUCUACAACACCAACAAAUACAAAGUAAAGGUAAGAGAUAACCACAAGUGGAACCGAUGAAGGCGAGGAUGUGUUACCGAAGUUCCUUCCCUUUGACAGGAAGUACGUCCCCGUUGGAGCGGUGUGGAGGCACAAUGCUCCCCAAUAACCCACUAGGGCCACCGUAUUCUCCUCACGCCCUCGCACAAUGCAAGGUGCCGCUAUUCCACUAUAGGUGCCCUUGAAUGCGGCGACCGAACCUUUACAAACAAGGUUGGGGCAAUCUCCACACAAAGCUUGGAGGCUCCCAACAAGAUCACAGAGCUUCACCACAAUGGAAUGUGGCUCCGAGGUGACCUCAACCGUCUAGGGUGCUCAAACACCCAAGAGUAACAAGAUCCGCAAGGGAUUAGCAUGGGGAAUCAAAUAUCCUUUGGUGGAAGUGUAGAUCAAGGCCUUUUCAAGCAAUCCCUAGAAAAUCAACAAGGUUGAUUGGCUAGGGAGAGAGAUCGGGCUAAAAUGAGCUUGUGGAGCAACAAUGGAGCUUAGAGGGGUUAAAGGUGAGCUCUAUGAAGAAGAAGAUGCCUUUAUAUAGUAGGGGGCAGAUCCACCUGUUACCCACCUACCACAUAAAUGCACAAGUGGUACUACCGCUCCUGGAGCGGUACUACCGCUACCCAGAGCGGUACUACCGCUCAGCUUCUCACCAACCACGGUAGUACCGGGAUACUACCGUGCCACCACCUCCGUGGAAAAGUAUGCGAGAAAAAAACCCGUCGGUGCGGUGGUAAAUUAAUACUACCGCACUGAGGGCGGUAGUACUGCCCUUGGAGCGGUAGUAAAAAACUACUACCGUACUUCGGGCGGUAGUACCGCUCGUGGAGCGGUAGUAAAAGUUUACUACCGCACCUGGGACGGUAGUACCGCUCCUGGAGUGGUAGUAAAAAUUUACUACCGCUCUGAGAGGGUACUACGCUGUGCCAGCGGUACUACCGCUUAUCCUUUUUUGCAUAGGCAUAGAAAACACAUUUGUGCUCAAUUGAAGACAAAAUAUGGGUGGGUGCAUGAGGUGGGUGCGUGAGGAUUCCACCCAAACCUUUCCGACGCGGACCCCCUCUUAAUAAGAAGAUUUUCCUAUGACUCAAACUAGGAAGAGAAAUGUAGAAGAAAAUCCGUCUUCGAGAACCUCCGAGAGGCGUCGAGUCAUCUUGUGCCUAGAAUAGAAUAUUCUGAAAUGCUCAGGACACAAGAUUAGUCCGCACAACAAUUGUCAUCAAUCACUAAAACCACUUAGAAGAAAUAUGCCCUAACAAGGUCUUUUACAACUAAAUACGUUUACAAUUAGCUAGAAAAGGAUAUUAUUAGUUUUUUUAACAAGUGGAUUUGGAAAGCCCCUAUUCCUUUUAAAAAAUAAGAUUUUUAUGUGGCUAACUUUUAGAGAUGCAAUUAUUACGAGCGAUCAGUUGAGAAAGCGAUAAUGCUUGGGAAUUCGAGUUGUUACUUUUGUUCUGAACAUGAAAAUAUCAACAACUUAUUCUUUGAUUGUCACAUGGCUAAGGUUGUGCGGGGGACAAUUGGUAAGGCUAUUCAGACCAAAUGCAAUCCUGGUCUACUCAAGGUAAACGACAAGGAGCUCCUUGAGAGCAGCAUGCACGUGUUGAUGAAGGAAAUUAAUCGAAUCGCUUCGCUUUUGGUUCCAGUUGGUGAUGUUGGAGUUGCUUCCUAAGAUCUGUUGGGUGAGUUGGAUUCAAUAGUGUUGUUAUGUUAGAGUUUGAUGGACGAGGGUGUUUUUUUAGUGUGGAUCUAGUUUCCUUCUCUGGUUGUUUUCAUGUUAUGCUUUCUAUACUUGAUCGCUACUGUGUGGAUGGUUUGGUAAUCCUGGAGUUUAUGGUGGUAGCAGGUUUUCACCAAGUAGCUGGAGUUUCGAUGUGAGCUCCAUGCAGCAGGUUCUCUGCUAGUGCACCACCUCGCUUCUUCCUUUCUCUCUUCCUUUUGGGUCAUCAUUUGGUUGAUGUAAGAACAUACUAUGUAUUUUAGUUAGGAAAUUAAUGGAAAGGGGAUGGCCGAGUUGAGAAAAGGGAUGUUAAGAGGAUUUUCAAGAUUUUUUUCUAAUGAUUUUUUUCCUAUGAAAGUCAAUUGGGUUGUUGGAUUUGGGCAAUUAAAUUCAAAUGAAAUCCAUUCUUAUGAACACUAUUAUUCCAUAGAAAUCUCAACAUGACAUCAAAGAAAUUACACGCGUUCAUUUUUUUACAUGAAGAUCAAAACUACAUUAGUUGGACUAAAAGAUUUUGAAAAUUCGUAUGAGCCAGCAACCUCAAUAGGUCACCUAAAGAUCGUUAAACACGCUCUUACCUCGGGUGUCACACUUUACAAGACAAGCCAUAGAACUGCUACUUUUCUUAAUGUAAGAGAACAAGUCCAAGAGAGAAAUAAAAAAGACAGAGACUAAAUGGACUCAACUAGCCCAUGAGAUCUCCAUAUUCAUCAUGUUUUCACCACUUAGUCGAGCAGAAGAACGAGAUGGUAAUUUGUCAUAUGAUAAGUUGUCAUACCACGAAGGCAGAACGCCUCCUAGUUUCUGGUUGUGUCAACUAUGAUGAACAAACAAGGAUGAAAAAAACAAAGUUCUAGGACUUGGAGGACCCCGUUGAACCAUUGCCUGCCAUCGAUAACCUUGCUCCAUGGCCCCAUCCACGUGCCCGACUUCGAACCACCAAAACCUUCUUCACAUGCUGACCUUGUUGCCUUCCAAGGAGCCAUUGAGUGUCAACCCCCGCUCGCUAGAUUCGAAGAUGAUCGAGCAAUCUAGUCGCCCAAACUACUGAUGAUUGGAGCAUCACCAGGUGGGGGGAUAAUAGGAGGCGCGUUAUUUCGACCCGACAUUUUCCCCACGAUAGAUGUGACAACUUAUUUCGAUCCGACAUUGUCCCCACCAUAGAUAUGAUGCCUCAAAUUAAACAUGAAGCCAACAAUAGCUACUCACCAAAAUUGAAGCGCAUGUGUCUUAUCCCUGCCCUUCACGGUAGCUAGAGGAGGUAGGAACCCACAUGCUUAUCUAUGGAGGAAGGGGAUAAUCAGUCACCACCCAAAUUGCCUCUUGGACACAGGGGUAUAGAAAAUGAACAAUAUUCCAAGAAAACAAAAAAUCUUGAAAAUUGGAGGAAGAUAUCGGCGUAAUUUUUUUUGGAACACAUAUCAGCCUAACUAGUGAGAAGGAAAUCAGAAUUUUGCCCGAUGGUCCGGAGCCUCCAUUUUCGGCCGAGUGAUGCAUGUUGUCGGCUAAGCCCACUUUAGGACAACUCCAACCGGGCGACCCAUUUUACGUGCACGUGUCCGUUUGGGUCACCGCGGACACAAAACAUGGCCCAAUGCGGCAACCCAAACGAACACACAUCUAAUUUUUGUUCGCCCGCGACCCAUUCCAACCAUAAAUUUAGUCCGCAUUUGUGUCAGCGUGGACACGGGACGGACGCCCGCCCUUCUCUUCCUCCUGGCCCGCCAGUCGAUGGCACGUAGGACAGUAUCCUCUUCCUCUCUUCACCUACGACUCACCCAUCCGCCCCACCUCCCACCGCUGCUGCCCACUUCUGCCAAUAUUGCCAGCCAUCAGUCCAUAGAUAGGUCACCCUCCCGACUGCCUCAUCUCUCGUCGUUGCCUAGCUCUGCUAUCUUGUCUCGAUGGGGUGUGAGGCUCUUCACCGACCGGCUUCUUCCAUGACACCCGCAUGUUGUUCGGUGGUUUUCCCGCAAGGUACAAAUGGACUUCGACGAUGAUUUUUUUCUAAAACAUUCUUUGUGAUCAGAUGAUUCUUCAUCGAUGAUGAGGAGAUCGUGGCAGAUGCGUUGGUCGUCAAUGACCACCUAAGUAUGGAGGGACUGCCGUUUAGGGGCAUGAUACCGGGGCACACGCCGACACUGAAUCGCGACCGGGAGAGUGGCAAUUUCCUACUCUGGAAGGACUACUUCGAGCAGCAAACCCUCUCUUCAAACAUCACAUGUUCCAAUGUCGUUUUUGUAUGGCUAGGCAUGUGUUCAACCGUAUUCGGGAGCGGGUGGUGGAGUACGAUAAUUAUUUCAAGUGCAAGAUGGAAGCCCUUGGAAAGAUUUGCUUCUCCUCUUAUCAGAAAUGCAGUGCUCCCAUUCAGAUGCUUGCAUAUGGAGUUCUCGAUGAUCUCAUUGAUGAGUAUGUUUGGAUGAGUGAGUCCACAUGCCUUGAGUCCAUGUAUAGGUUUUGCAAGGUUGUCAUAGUUGUGUUUAGGUCGGAGUACUUGAGAGAGCCAACGGUUGCUGAUACAACACGGCUUGAUGGCGAUGAAUUCCAACAUGGGGUUCCCGGAGAUGACUGGUAGCAUAGAUUUUAUGCACUUGAGUGGAAAAAAAUUAUGCACUUGAGUGAAAAAACUUCCCUUCUCCUUGGCACGGGCAAUAUAAGGGUCAUGUCAAAACGGAGCGGAAACGGACGGAACUGAGUGCUAUCACAUUUGUUUUCAUAUUGUUUUGUAGAAUUGGAAGUGAAUACGGAAACUCCGGAAAUAAAUACGGAAACAGAUACUACCGGAAAUAGACAUGGAGCGAAUACAGAGCGGAUACAGAAACAGAAGAAGACGUUGACCAAAACUUUUAAACCCCUUGAAUAAUAGAGUAAUACACACAACAACAAAAGUAAUGAAUUCCUAACAUGGCUACAAAAUAAUUUGAUUAUAUUAGCAACAUAUCCUAGUAUUGUAUUAGUACAUGACAAUUGUGUAUAGGCUCUAGUUGAGCACGUAUAUGGUAGUAUAAGUUGGGCCUCAAAUAAUUCAUUAUGCUUAUUGUGUCAUUAUGUGUUAUUUGGUGGUUGAGCUAGAAAGAAGCCCUAGGCCUAGAGUAAAAAUGGGAAAUUCCAUAUUCACGGAAACGGACAGUUCCAUUUCCACGUACGUUCCACCGGAAAACACUCUUCCGUUUUUGUUUCCGUUUUCACAUUAAAAUUUUCAUUUCCGUUUCCGUUUUGCAAAUUUCCAUUUCCGCUACCAUAUUUCCUCUCGGUUUUCAUUUUUCCUCCGGAAAAGCAGAAAGUUUUCAUUCCAUUUUCAUCCCUAUGUCCGAGCUUGCACUGUCAUACUUGAGGCCAUUGCUUCCAAAGAUCUCUGGAUUGGCACUCUUUCUUUGACAUGGCCGGAUCUCACAGCGAUAUCAAUAUUCUCUAGCUCUCUCCUGUGUUUUGUAGGAUGGCAGAAGGAAAUUACCCGGAGGUCAAUGUUGAGAUCAAUGGCCACCAAUACACCAAUGGAUACUAUCUAUUAGAAGGUAUCUAUCCAAUGUGGACUAUUCUUGCCAAGACAAUCCCCAACCCUUUAGGAGAGAAGAGAAAGAGAUUUGCCCAAGAGCAAGAGAGUGCUAAAAAGGAUGUAGAGCGUGCCUUUGGUGUUCUUCAAUCUCGAUGGAGCAUCGUUCGGUAUCCUGUUAGAACUUGAAGCACCAAAAAUGUUGUGAGAGCAUCACUACAAUUGGACGCACCACCCUUGUCAAAUCAAUUCUUUUGUCACAAGUGCUAUAUUACAUUACGCCUCGAAGCACUCUCCAUAGAACGUACAAACUUCAGAGAGCCUUCCUUUGGUCAGGUUCGUACAACACAACGGUAGUGAAAUAGAAAGUGAACUGGGACAUGGUAUGCAGGCCAUAUGAAUGAGGAGGCCUUGGAGUUCUCAACACAGACAAGUUUACAUGAGGUUUGCGUCUUCGAUGUCCUUUGUUUAUAUGGAAAGAGCCUUCCAAUUUGUGGGCGGGUAUGGGAAACCCAUGUGAUGAGCAUGAUCUUGACUUCUUCUAUGCAUCUACCACCAUCAUAGUUGGGGACGGAACAAGAACCCCCUUUUGAGAGGCUCCUUGGAUUAAUGACAGGGAGCCAAAGGAGAUAGCUCCUCUCAUUUUUGAGGCUUCAUCUUGCAAAAAAUGGAAGGUUAGAGAGGUGCUGAAGAAGAAUGCUUGGGUGGACAAGGUCAAACUUUUUGCGAACUUCACUAUGAAGCAUCUACGUCAAUUUGUGGCCCUCUGGGUGUCCAUCCAAGGCCACCUUGACGACCAUGUUUAAGAUGACAUUGUAUGGAAACACACAGUCAGCAGACACUAGUCCACGACCUCUGUCUAUGGGGCCCAAUUCUUCGGCACGGUUUACUUGCCCAUGGAGCACAUGAUAUGGAAAGCUUGGGCCACUCCCAAGGUCAAAUUCUUUUCUUGGUUGGCUAUUCAAGACCGAAUUUGGACCGUCGAUAGACUCGCCAAACGGGGAUGGCCUAACUGUAAUUUGUGCCCGCUAUGCAAGCAAGUUCGGAAAUUCAGGUGACACCUCUUCUUGAAAUGUCGGUUCAUGCUCAGUAUCUGGAAAUAAAUUGAUAAAUGACUGGCUUCUUUUGAUCGACUUUGAUACUUCGGAUCGACACCUCGAGGACUCCGUUAGCAAAUAGUGGUCCAAGAGAUCCGACGAUGGCACGCCCAACAGGAAGGCCCUGACAUCCUUGACAAUGCUUAUGGGAUGGAUCUUUUGGAAGGAGGGGAAUGCCCUAACCUUUGAGCACAAAACAUCCACCUUGUUCAACUAUAUUCGGUAUGAGAUCAAACUGUGGAUUUCGGCAGGAGCGAAGAAACCUUGAACUAUUGUAACGGGAGAGUGAGGCCUUAGUACUGCCGGUCCUGUAACAUAAAUUAUAUUCUCUUGUUAAUUAAUAUAUGAGGCAAUUUUUUUGCCUUGGUUUCAAAAAAAUUAUGGAAGGUAAUGACAGAUUAUGUGAUCAUGCACAACAUGACGUAGAGGAUGAGAGCCCAUGACGUCUUUAUGAUCAAGGGUUUCAGCGUCAGAGUGACAAUGUUUUCAACGUUUACACAGUUCAUCGAGUUUCAUCAUGAGAUACGUUAUUCGAAAACUCACAUGCUGCCGCAAAAUGAUUUAGUUGAGCCUUUAUGAAUUCAUGUUGACAACCAAUAAAUAUAUCGACAACCUUUUUUUCAAUGUACUUGAGACAAUUUAAUGUUAAUUUAGUUUAUAAACAAUGAGAUAUUUAUGUGGUUCUUGAACUAUGCAACGUUUGUAUUUUUAUUAAACUUUGUUAAUGUCGGAUCAAAUUUUAUACAUCUAUACCUAAUAAUAAAGCGGCUAUUGCUUCCGUCGGAAAACCCACCACGACAUUUUUAUAAAAAAGCCCUUGUAAUUUUUGUUAUUCAACCCGCGCUCCAUCAUUUAUCUGCAACGCAAAAGGAAAAAACGAUUCGCUGCAAAAAUUAUACCCGUACGCAUCGCCUCCUCCCGUCGACCCUGGGCCACCCUAGCCUGUGCCAAGGCCGCCGCCACACCACUCGCUGUCGCGGCCGACCUCAACCGCCACGGCUGCCGAUCUCAACCCACCCGCCUCCGCGCUUGUACCUCUCCCCGCUCACUGCCCCCAUUGCGGUGCUCGAGCGCAUCGCAUCGACCCUGGUCCACCUUGGCCUGUGCCAAGGCCGCUGCCACACCACUCGCUGUUGCGGCCGACCUCAACCACCACUGCUGUCGAUCUCAACCCACCCGCCUCCGCGGUCGUACCUCUGCCCGCUUGCUGCCCCCGUUUCGGCGCUCGAGCACAGCUUCUGGAUAAAAUCAACGCGACAGCUACAACGACUUGGGAUGAUGCGUCUGCUCGAUACAGAACAGCGGCGACGCGCGGAUAAGGCGUGGUGGAGCGAAGUACUUGUAGGUGGAGGCGGGCCUCCAUGGCUCACACGGGGAACUCCGAGGUUAUGGCGCGGAAACGGCGACUCCUUAUGGCCAGAUAGAGGCGCCAAACCCAUGCUCUCCUCAUUGUAUCCCCUCCUCCGGCAGGAACUCAUCAUCUGGUGAGAUCCCCUCCCCAUGCCUCCAACCGUGUGCCAAGCACCGGCAAGAAAUUUUGUUUUGUGGGAAUUUGUUUGCUGAUGAAUGAAUGUAUUGAAUGUAAGAUUGCAUUGUUGUAGGUGUUGGGUAACGUAGCAUAAAUUCAAAAUUUUCCUACGCAUAUUCAGAUCUUCCUAUGGAGAGACCAGCAACGAGAGAGGGGUAAGAGCAUCUUCAUACCUUUGAAGAUCGCUAAGCGGAAGCGUUACUAGAACACGGUUGAUGGAGUCGUACUCGCAGCGAUUCAGAUCGCGGUGUGAUUCCGAUCUAGUGCCGAACUAUGACACCUCCGCGUUCAACACACGUGCAGCCCGGUGACGUCUCCCGCACCUUGAUCCAGCAAGGAGGAGGGAGAGGUUGGGGAAGAACUCCAGCAGCACGACGGCGUGGUCUCGAUGGAGAGACGAGGUCUCCCAGCAGGGCUUCGCCAAGCACCGGCAGAGAGAAGGAGGAGGAAGGGUAGGGCUGCGCCGAGAGAGAGACAAAUCCGUGUGCCAAACAGCCCCGAAACCUCAACUAUAUAUAGGGGAGCGGGAGGGGGCGCAGCCCUUAGGGUUCCCACCCCCAAGGGGUGUGGUAGCCCCCAUCUGCGCCAGGAGGUGGCGGCCAGGAGGGGAGGAGGAGUGUGGCGCACCCGUGAUGGGCCUUAGGCCCACGUGGCUUAGGGUUUGCCCCCCCCCCUUUCCUCUCCCCUGUGCAUUGGGCUGAGUGGGGAGGCGCACCAGCCCACCUAGGGGCUGGUUCCCUCCCUCACUUGGCCCACCUUACCUCCCGGGGUCGUUGCCCCCCUUCGGUGGACCCCCGGGGCCACCUCCGGUGGUCCCGGUACGUUACCGGUGAUGCCCGAAACACUUCCGGUGUCCGAAACCAUCUGUCCUAUAUAUAAAUCUUUACCUCCAGACCAUUCCGGAGCUCCUCGUGACGUCCGGGAUCUCAUCCGGGACUCCGAACAACUUUCGGUAACCUCGUAUAACAAUUCCCUAUAACCCUAGCGUCAUCGAACCUUAAGUGUGUAGACCCUACGGGUUCGGGAGACAGGCAGACAUGACCGAGACACCUCUCCGGCCAAUAACUAUCAGCGGGGUCUGGAUACCCAUGGUGGCUCCCACUUGCUCCACGAUGAUCUCAUCGGAUGAACCACGAUGUCAAGGAUUCAAUCAAUCCCGUAUACGAUUCCCUUUGUCUGUCGGUAUAGAACUUGCCCGAGAUUCGAUCGUCGGUAUACCUAUAACUUGUUCAUUCUCAUUACUGGUAAGUCUCUUUACUCGUUCCGUAGCACGUCAUCGUGUGACUAACUCCUUAGUCACAUUGAGCUCAUGAUGAUGUUCUACCGAGUGGGCCCAGAGAUACCUCUCCGUCACACGGAGUGACAAAUCCCGAUCUCGAUUCGUACCAACCCAACAUACACUUUCAGAGAUACCCGUAGUGCACCUUUAUAGUCACCCAGUUACGUUGUGACGUUUGAUACACCCAAAGCACUCCUACGGUAUCCGGGAGUUGCACAAUCUCACGGUCGAAGGAAAAUAUACUUGACAUUAGAAAAGCUUUAGCAUACGAACAAUACGAUCUAGUGCUAUGCUUAGGAUUGGGUCUUGUCCAUCACAUCAUUCUCCCAAUGAUGUGAUCCCGUUAUCAAUGACAUCUAAUGCCCAUGAUCAGGAAACCAUGAUCAUCUAUUGACUAACGAGCUAGCCAACUAGAGGCUUGCUAGGGACACAUUGUGAUCUAUUUAUUCACACAUGUAUUACUGUUUCCUGUUAAUACAAUUAUAGCAUGAACAAUAGACGAUUAUCAUGAACAAGGAAAUAUGAUAAUAACCAUUUUAUUAUUGCCUCUAGGGCAUAUUUCCAACAGUCUCCCACUUGCACUAGAGUCACUAAUCUAGUUACAUUGUGAUGUAUCGAACACCCAUAGCAUUAUGGUGUUGAUCAUGUUUUGCUCGUGGAAGAGGUUUAGUCAACGGGUCUGCAAUAUUCAGAUCCGUGUGUACUUUACAAAUAUCUAUCACUCCACUCUGGACAUGGUCGUGGAUGGAGUUGUAGCGGCGUUUGAUGUGCUUCGUCUUCCGGUGAAACCUGGGCUCCUUGGCUAUGGCAAUGGCCCGAGUCUUAUCACGGAAGAGUGUCAUUGGACCCGACGCGCUUGGAACCACUCCAAGGUCGGUGAUGAGCUCCUUCAUCCAAAUUCCUUCAUGAGCUGCUUCUGAAGUAGCUAUGUACUCCGCUUCACAUGUAGAUGCUGCCACGACUUCUUGCUUACUGCUGCACCAGCUCACUGCCCCACCAUUCAACACAUAUACGUAUCCGGUCUGUGACUUAGAGUCAUCCGGAUCUGUGUCGAACCUAGCGUCGACGUAACCCUUUACGACGAGCUCUUCGUCACCUCCAUAAAUGAGAAACAUUUUCUUAGUCCUUUUCAGGUACUUAAGGAUAUUCUUGACCAUUGUCCAGUGUUCCAUACCGGGAUCACUUUGGUACCUCCCUACCAAACUUAUGGCAAGGUUUAUAUCAGGUCUGGUACACGGCAUGGCAUACAUUAGUGUCACGCCCAAGAUGCGACCCUAUCCUCAAUUUGGCACGAGGGCCUCGUCAGGGAUAGAAGCGCAUCUCGUCGUGUCGCAAGAAUGGAUAUCGUUACAAGUACAUGUACUGAAAAGGAGAGAUAUAUAAAGGGUUGGCUUACACCCGCCACAAGCUACAUCAGAGUCACAUCAGUACAUUACAUAAUCAUCAAGAGUAAGAGCAGGGUCCGUCUACGGACGAAAACAAACGACAAAAGAAGAACGACGUCCAUCCUUGCUAUCCCAGGCUGCCGGCCUGGAACCCAUCCUAGAUCGAUGAAGAAGAAGAAGAAGAAGAAGCAACUCCAAAUGAACAAUCAACGCGCUCGCGUCAAGUAAUCUUUACCUGUACCUGCAACUGGUGUUGUAGUAAUCUGUGAGCCACAGGGGACUCAGCAAUCUCAUUUCCAAAGGUAUCAAGACUAGCAAAGCUUAAUGGGUGAGGUAUGGUUAAGUGGUGAGGUUGCAACAAGGGCUAAGCAUAUAUUCGGUGGCUAACUUACGAGUACAAGAAGUAAGAGGGGGAAGAUCUACGCAUAGCGGACGUGAACUACUGAUGAUCAAAUGAAUGAUCCUGAACACCUACCUACGACAGACAUAACCCCACCGUGUCCUCGAUCGGAGAAGGAACUCAUGAAAGAGACAGUCACGGUUACGCACACAGUUGGCAUGUUUUAAUUAAGUUAACUUCAACUUAUCUAGAACCAGUGUUAAACAAAGUUUCCACGUUGCCACAUAACCGCGGGCACGGCUUUCCGAAAGAUUUAACCCUGUAGGGGUGCUCCAACUAGUCCAUCACAAAUUACCACAAGCCGCAUAGAAAUACUCAAUCACGAAGCUCGCGAUCUCGUCGGAUUCCCUAGUGGAAAACCUCAACUCUGAGAUUACCCAAAGCAUCACCGGAAUCCCGAUGCACAAGAUAUCUCGUCAAAGGUAAAACUAAUCCAGCAAGGCCGCCCGACGUGUCGACGAUCCCGAUAGGAGUCGCGUACCUCGUUCUCAGGACACGACGGAUGAGCGAUGGUUACCACGCCAAACGCCGAGUUGCCCCGGGUAGCGUUAAUAAGCUGCUCUGUUUUGGACCAACACUCAUGAGGAGCACUGGCCCGGGGGUUGAUUAAAUUAUCCUCGGGGUCCGGAAAGUCCCUAUGCAAUUUUAUUAGGUGAUUAGGCAAAUGUAGUACCAAAGUUGGGCAUUGCCAGACCAGCUUUAAUCUAAAACGAAUUAUCAAGGGGGUCCCCAUAACGACCCCGAUCGUGUUAGGAGCGCUCAUUUAUGGAACAUAACACCAGUAGCCGGUAACUAAAAGGGGCAAAGGUGGAACAAAACACCAGGCUAGAAAGGCCGAGCCUUCCACCUUUUACCAAGUAUAUAGGUGCAUUAAAAUAAAUAGCAUGAAUAUGGUGAUAUAACAAGGAACCCACGUUAGACAUGGGAGCAACUGCACCUGCAACUAGCAACGCUAUCAACAGGGUUAAGCAAGCAGUAACAUAGCCAAUCAGUGGUUUGCUAGGUUGAACAGGUUGAUGGUAAUCAUGGCAUUGUUGAGAGGCUGAUAUUUAACAGGUGGUAGGCAACGAGACAUAAAUGGUAGCAACGGUAAAACUAGCAUGGCAAUGAUAGUAAUGGUAUCUGGGGAAAUGAUCAUCUUGCCUGAGAUCCCGCUUGGAAGAAGAACGACUCCGUGAAGCAGACGAACCGACGUAGUCGAACGGUUCCUCACAAUCCGGCACGCGUGCGGAACUCUAUCGAGACGGGGAAACCAGAAACAAGCAUCAACACACGAUAUUCACCACACGAUGCACAACACAUAUGAUGCAUGAACUACUGAAUACAUGCAAGUCACGGCAUGACAAUUCACACAACCAAACACUACACAUUAAGUGAAGUUCAAUAUGCACGAGUUGCAUAUUGACGAAACUCCACGUUUAAUAUUUAGUUCUAUCCCGAUUAGUUACUCGGCCAUAUUAAAGUUUUCAAACAUGCAAGAGGUGGAGCGGAAAUUAAACUACCUAUCUAGGCAUUUUAAAUGAGGUCAGAAAUGUCCUAUAGCAUCUCCGAGACGACCUCACAUGUUAAUUUACAAUUCUGUCCAGAUCUGAAUUAAUGCAUUUAAUUGGCUGUUAAACAGAAAAACAAAUAGGUUCACGUGAUUCUACGCAUCCAGGCAAGCAAUCUACACAUAAAGAACAUCUCCAACGGAGCUACGGAACAAAAGACACAAGCACCACAAGAUAUGAUGGCAUGAAUGCAAAAUGUGUGCAACGGCGGCUACGAGCACUUCAACACAUGCAACUAGCAAGAUAAAAUGAAACUACACCAGAUUCUAAGCAAGUUUCAUGUAGGACACGAUCAAAACGGAGCUACGGUUUGAAAACUACAAGCAAAACAAGAGAACACUACAAUCUGCCAAAAACAGCCACAUAGCAUAUUCUACGCCCCACAACUACGGAUACACAACUCCGAUUAGCUCAAGCAAGGCAUGACACGGAAGAGGGCAAAAAGCACAACUACAAUCAACUAACAACAUCUAGCAUGGCAACACGGAUCACUAGAUAAAGAAGUCACAAAAUGACAUCACACACACUAUCUCAGACUUAGUGAAAAUAACACCUCAUGAAAGUGCAGUUUUCAGCCUGAAGCAAUAUUGACAGCAGAAAAACCUAUACCUACAGAAGCCCAAAUGGCAUGAAACUUAACAGCAUGCUAGAGAAACAUAAGGGGUACAACUAACUCCAUUGGACCAACCUCAAAAGGGCUACAGAUCACAAGAUGCAAGCAAGACAAGACAGCAACAAAAUAAUAACAGAUUCCAGACUUAGAAAUAUUUCAGCUCCUCUGAAACAGCACUAUUCAAGCAAUUUGAGGGCAGUCAAACAACACCUAAACAUGCAUUUCUAUUGCAACUAAAAAUACCCAAGGCUAUACAAAACAUCCAAGGUCAAAUCACUAGUUGACAACUAAUUCAAACGAGGCCCGGAAUAAAACCUACGGAUUAAACAAAAGGGCUUCACGACAAAAUAUCUCGCGAACUAACUUCCUCAAAAGCUAAAACUAAUUGCACAGAAAAAUCCAUGGGAUUUUUCUACCCCGGAAACAUAUAAAAUAAGUGGGGUUUGCAACUCAAAAUAAAGCCACACAUUAAAGCGGGAUAAAACCUCUAAACGGGAAAAUAAACUACCGGCAAAACCCUACACGGAAAAAUACGAGUGACCGCUCUAAAAUACGUAGAAAUAUGGUCCCUAAAACAUGGACAUUAAAUCUAUGGCAUACGGGCAGUCCAGACACACACGAGAGUUAACUGCGGAACAGAUCCUAGUUAAACAGCACGUAAAACGAGGCAUUAGGCACUCUAAACAGCGUUAAACAUAUAUGCAUGUUGGAUAAUCGUGUUCUACUCGCGAAGCUACCCCAAAACGAUAUAUAACACGCGUCGUUCCGACUUACGGUUUAAAAGUUAUGGGGGUUUAAGUAAUUAGCUAAAACCUGAAAUUAACUAAACCGAAAAGAAAAAGAAAAUCCUAAAUAUCUAAUGGGCCGAAUCUGGUGGCGCGACAUAGUUAAAACAUGCCGGGGGCGAGGGAUAAGCUCACCUCGGUGGGCCUCGGGGCCGGCCUGGCCGAGGCGAGGAAGUGGCUGCUUGGCGACCUGGGCCUCGGGGCGAGGCAGAGGGAGGCCCAAGCGCUGCCUGCUGCUGGGCCGGGGCGCUGGCCCAUGCGGCCAGGGGAGGCAGAGCCGGCCGGGCUCGAAGGGAGGCGGCCCAGGAGCGGUUCCACCGCAGUGCUCGUCCCACCUCGAGCAGAUCUCGACCGGGGACCGAGACGAGACGGCGGCUACGCUGGAGCUCACUGGCCGGCGCGCCGCUCAGGGAAGAAGACCGGGACAGCCGGCGACUGGCCAGAUCCGGAUCCUCCGGUGGGGGCGCCGCGGGAGCUGCCCGACUUGGAUCCGGCGGGGCAACGAAUCGACGAGGACGAGGCUCCCGGGAGGGGGACGGCCAUGGCGGCGGGGCUGGUCGGCAGCGACUGUUGUUGGCCGGUGGCGGGGCACGGCUCCGGGGCGAGGCGGGGCUCCAGCCCGGCGGCGAGCGGGAGGAAUCCGGCGGGGCUGACUCGGGCAGGAGGAGCUCGGGCUACGGGGAGAGAUCGGGGCGGCGGCGGCGGCGGCCGGAUGGGCCUGCCCGAGCCCGAUCUGGGCUCGGCGGGCCCGCGGUGGCUGGUGGGUGGAGGUGCUGCGGGGGGAGAGAGAGGGCGCGGCGGCUAGGGUUUCGGGCGCGGAAAACGAGGCAGGAUUAGGGGGAGGCUGUCUAAAUGUGAUGGUGGGUAUUUAUAGACAAAUGGGGGCUAGGUUUAACCGGAAUCGCGAUCCGGAUCCAACCGCGGGGUCGGAUUCGGACGAUUCCGAACGUGGGAACGGGUACGUGACCGUGUAGAGGGGUAUCCGGAGACGAGAGGGAGAACGGGCGACGCGGCACGAAUUUUAAAACAUCGACAGACGUCCGACGGUAGACCGAAUACGGUGCCGCUACGGUCGACCGUUCGGGUACCAGUCGGUCUCCGAUCGCGACGAAAUUCGACAGGCGGCCUAGCUACAUCUAAUCGCGACCGCGUGCCAAGUCUCACCUCGAUGAGAGAGAGUUUUAAACACACUUUAAAAACAGGGUUUCGACGGUGCCGCGGGUGCGUGCGUGUGCGGUCGGGCUCGGAACGGACAACGACGCAAACCUGCAACUAUCAACGCAUGCAAGUUGAAAACGGGCGGCAACAGAGACACCGAUGCAAUGCUGUGAUGCACAUGAUGCGAUGAUGAUGCGGCAACUGAAAAUACCCACACGACGAAAACGGAAAGAAAAGGGGAAGCUUCUGGAACGUCGGUCUCGGGCUGUUACAAUUAGAGAGCCCACGGUUGAAGCGUAGGGGACAGAACUCAUCUUCUCUCUAUCUGCUGCCGUGGUCGGCGACUGAGUCUUACUCAAUCUCAUACCUUGCAAAACUGGCAAGAACCCUUUCUUUGAGUUUUCCAUAUUGAACUUCUUCAAUAUCUUGUCAAGGUAUGUACUUUGCGAAAGACCUAUGAGACGUCUUGAUCUAUCUCUAUAGAUCUUGAUGCCUAAUAUGUAUGCAGCUUCUCCAAGGUCCUUCAUUGAAAAACUUUUGUUCAAAUAGGCCUUUAUGCUCUCCAACAUCUCUAUAUCAUCCCCCAUCAAUAAUAUGUCAUCCACAUACAGUAUGAGGAAAGCUACAGAGCUCCCACUCACUUUCUUGUACAGACAGGCUUCUCCGUAAACCUGUAUGAACCCAAACGCUUUAAUCACCUCAUUAAAGCGAAUGUUCCAACUCCGAGAUACUUGCACCAGCCCAUAGAUGGAGCGCUGGAGCUUGCACACUUUGUUAGCACCCUUAGGGUCGACAAAACCUUCUGGUUGCAUCAUAUACAACUCUUCCUUAAGGUUCCCGUUAAGGAACGCUGUUUUGACGUCCAUUUGCCAAAUUUCAUAAUCAUAAAAGGCGGCAAUUGCUAACAUGAUUCAGACUGAUUUCAGCUUCGCUACGGGAGAGAAAGUCUCUUCGUAGUGAACUCCUUGAAUUUGUCGAAAACCCUUUGCGAUAAGUCGAGCUUUCUAAACUGUUACAUUACCGUUUGCAUCAGUCUUCUUCUUGAAGAUCCAUUUAUUUUCUAUGGCUCGCCGGUCAUCGGGCAAGUCCACCAAAGUCCAUACUUUGUUCUCAUACAUGGAUCCUAUCUCAGAUUUCAUAGCCUCAAGCCAUUUGUUGGAAUCCGGGCCCGCCAUUGCUUCUUCAUAGUUUGAAGGUUCACCGUUGUCUAACAACAUGAUUUCCAUCACAGGGUUGUCGUACCACUCUGGUGCGGAGCGUGCCCUUGUGGACCUUCGCGGUUCAGUAGUAACUUGAUCCGAAGCUUCAUGAUCAUCAUCAUUAACUUCCUCUUCAGUUGGUGUAGGCGCCGCAGGAACAACUUCCCGCGCUGCGCUACUAUCCUGUUCGAGAGGGGGUGUAAUUACCUCAUCAAGUUCUACCUUCCUCCCAUUUACUUCUUUCGAGAGAAACUCUUUCUCUAGAAAGGAUCCAUUCUUGGCAACAAAGGUCUUACCUUCGGAUCUAAGAUAGAAGGUAUACCCAAUAGUUUCCUUAGGGUAUCCUAUGAAUACGCAUUUCUCCGCUUUGGGUUCGAGCUUUUCUAGUUGAAGUUUCUUCACAUAAGCAUCGCAGCCCCAAACUUUAAGAAACGACAACUCAGGUUUCUUGCCAAACCAUAGUUCAUACGGUGUCGUCUCAACGGAUUUAGACGGUGCCCUAUUUAAAGUGAAUGCUGCAGUUUCUAAUGUGUAUCCCCAAAAUGAUAGCGGUAAGUCGGUAAGAGACAUCAUAGAUCGUACCAUAUCUAAUAAAGUGCGAUUACGACGUUCAGACACUCCGUUGCGUUGCGGUGUGCCACGAGGCGUCAGUUGUGAAACGAUUUCACACUUCCUUAGGUGUGUGCCAAACUCGUGACUCAAAUAUUCUCCUCCACGAUCAGAUCGCAAACAUUUAAUUUUUCUGUCACGUUGAUUCUCAACCUCACUCUUAAAUUCCUUGAACUUUUCAAACGUCUCAAAUUUGUGCUUCAUUAAGUAGAUAUACUCAUACCUACUCAAAUCAUCGGUGAGAGUGAGAACAUAACGAUAGCCACCGCGAGCUUCAACGUUCAUUGGACCACACACAUCAGUAUGUAUUAUUUCCAAUAAGUCGGUUGCUCUCUCCAUUAUUCGUGAGAAUGGAGUCUUAGUCAUCUUGCCCAUGAGGCACUGUUCACAUGUGUCAAAUGAUUCAAAGUCAAGAGACUCUAAUAGUCCAUCAGUAUGGAGCUUGUUCAUGCGCUUAACGCCGAUAUGACCAAGGCGGCAGUGCCACAAGUAUGUGGGACUAUCAUUAUCAACUUUACAUCUUUUGGUACUCACACUAUGAAUAUGUGUAACAUCACGAUUGAGAUUCAUCAAGAAUAAACCAUUCACCAGCGGAGCAUGACCAUAAAACAUAUCACUCAUAUAAAUAGAACAACCAUUAUUCUCUGACUUAAAUGAGUAGCCGUCUCGCAUUAAGCAAGACCCUGAUACAAUGUUCAUGCUUAAAGCUGGUACUAAAUAACAAUUAUUAAGGUUUAGGACUAAUCCCGACGGUAGAUGUAGAGGUAGCACGCCGACGGCGAUCACAUCGACCUUUGAACCAUUCCCGACGCGCAUCGUCACCUCGUCCUUGGCCAGUCUCCGCUUAUUCCGCAGUUCCUGCUUUGAGUUGCAAAAUUGAGCUUUAGCAUAUGAACAAUACGAUCUAGUGCUAUGCUUAGGAUUGGGUCUUGUCCAUCACAUCAUUCUCCCAAUGAUGUGAUCCCGUUAUCAAUGACAUCUAAUGCCCAUGAUCAGGAAACCAUGAUCAUCUAUUGACUAACGAGCUAGCCAACUAGAGGCUUGCUAGGGACACAUUGUGAUCUAUUUAUUCACACAUGUAUUACUGUUUCCUGUUAAUACAAUUAUAAUAUAAACAAUAUACGAUUAUCAUGAACAAGGAAAUAUGAUAAUAACCAUUUUAUUAUUGACUCUAGGGCAUAUUUCCAACAGUAGAGAGAGAGAAUGGAACACCACCUUCAGUUUGUCAUCUGAUCCCAUAUUCUCUACCCCAUGAGUGAAAUAAGAUAACAGUCCAUUGAUCAAUUCACGUGGCCUCUUUGUUUUGCUUUGCUUGUUCCGUUCAAUUUCUUAUCAUGGUGGAAUUAACAAUGGACGAUUUGAUUUCUCAACAAAAUAGGAUAGGACUGACUACAUUAGUUAGUUAGCUUAUUAUUUUAAUAAAUCAAAAUGAUUAUAAAAAGAUUAAAAACGUGUGAUAUUUUUUUCUCCCGUUGCAACGCACGGGCCCUUAUGCUAGUAUGUAACAAAGCGAUCAAAAAAUCAUCGUAAGCCUGCGUACGGACGAGAAAUGAAUUGACAUAUUGGACGCACGAUCAAUCCAAAGGAAGAACAGAACAGUGUCAAUCCAAAAGAACAAAACAUGGGAAAGAAAAAAACGUGUCCGUUUGGAUCGCCGACCCCCGGUUAUAGUUGCUCUUACGGUCUGAUCCGGUCCGGUCCGGCCUACAAUUGCAUGAGUACGUACGUGGACUCACGACCGGCCGCAAGCUCAGAGAGUGAACACGUAGACAAAUCAGCUCACUGCAAACGGGAAAAUCACUGCAGUACAAAAGCUCGGUCACGAGGGGAUCACAUGCGUGCAAAUGCAAAGCAGGGCAGAGCGCGCGAUCUGCAGGAUCUAGCAGGCAGCCUAUCACACCGUCUCCCCGCGGCUGCACUGACACCUGAGAAUACUAUACGUCGAAAACACCACUGGCUGCGCUGUCCGUCCGCGCCAUGGAUUCCGACCUCUGAACAUGUCCUGCGAUCGUACUAAAUUUGGCCAAACAAACUGGCCGAAUCCCAUCAUCCAAACAAGAUAUAAAUUUUUUCAAUGAUAAAGCAGUCAUCAAAGGAGGAUUGAUCCAGCUUCCAGCUUAACUAAUAACCAUAUCAUAAUGGAAAACAAUCGGGUAACAGAGUAGGCGCUGCUCGAUCCGAUCGACAAGAUCAAAACCAAGCUCUUAUUCCGAUUCCAUGUGAGGGAGGAAAUCCCAUACCUCUCGGCCGGAGCACCGAGAUCUUGCGAACCAUGUGGCUCCACGUGAGCUCCUUUGUCUUUGUGGAGAGCGCCAAGCGUGUGCCUCACUGCUCCCGUUAUCCGUGGACACAAAAGUUGGCUCGUGUUUGCUUGAUCCGACACAGAGACAAAAACAGCGCCAGCCUUUUCGUGGUUAACGGCAUAAAGCGCCACGAAAGAGGUGUGGGAUGGAAUAUAAAGGUGAUGCAGAUAUAUGCCGCUGGGGUGGGUCUGCCUGUUGGGAACGGCCGGGUAUGCGGUAGUGACGACCACUCCUGUGCAAUCUGGAUGAACACGAGAAUAUAUUGUCUACACAUAUAUAGAUUUAUAGGAGUUUUACUGGGCAGAUAAAUUCUAAUGAAAGAUUAAGAGGGAUGAGGAUCUCAUCCUUUAAAAAUCAGGGGAAAAGGUUAGUUAGAAAGAAAAAAUUAUAGUCAACGUAUAACCCUUUAUAAGUCUUUAUGAGCGAUUCCUCGCUUAUAACAUGUAAAUGACAAGUCAUUGAAAAUUAGCCAUCAUAGUAUGAAAGCGGGUUAGACGAACGUGAAAGUAGAGUUUAUUUAAACGACGGAACUUAUAGCGAUCUACCGUGAUGCCAAACGCAGGCCAGGCCGACUAAAUUGAGAUCUUAGCCUUCCCUGCACUAAAUUGGUGGAAUCCAUUUAUUUGCCUACCAUAACUAAAGUUUGGUUAGACUAAAAAAAACGAAGUUUGGAUUUAUUUUGAUUAGAUAUGUAUUCUUGACUUUCGUUAUCGAAGUAAACACAUACUAUGGUGGUAUGGAUUUGCAUUGCUUUCACUUUACAAUUCAGCAAUUAUAGUUUUUCAAACUAUUUUAUUGAGAACAUAUACGCUUCAGUCCUACACUAUUUACUCAGUUCUUCUCAAUCUUUUUCGCCCCGCUUAACUUCGUAAAAUAUAAUACUCAGAGCAAUGACAAAAUCAUGGUUAGGUUAAGGAAAUAUAAAUCUCAUAUAUGUUAGUUGGUCUAUAUAUGUGUAAACUUGUUCUAUGUAAAGUUUGACUAUAGGACAUUGCUAUUCGCUGAUUUUUUAUUAUUAAAAAUGUAUGUUUAUGAACUUCUGCCAAAACUUCAUAAAGCACAUGUUGCACUAUAUAAAUAUCUUACAGGUUAAAGUGCUAUCCUGGGAUGAGAUAAUUUAGAGAGUUAGGCGUGUCCAAUAAAAAUUCGAGAGAAAAGAGAAGGCAAUCAAAUAGUUUUGGGGGGAUAAGUGGACCUUUUCAUCUUUGUUUCCAUUUUCUUUUCUCAAUCCAUUCUACAUUUCCACCUUUUUGUGGUGACCACAUCCCUUCUCUUCCAUUGGCAUUUUACAUAGAUAGAUAGUUAUGAUCCAACACAAAAUAAUACUAUGUUCCUACCGGUCCGGUAUGCAUACCUCUCUUGUACUUGGUGUCUUAUUUUAUCAUUAAAAAAUAUGAAUCGUAUAUCCUAUUUUUUUUGUUACCAUGGGAUUUGCAUUCAAAAUAUUAUUUCCAAUGCCUUACUUGUAUGGAAUAUUGUACAACGGCCGAAGAUACUACCCCUAUAUCCUCAAACUUUUUCGUCGUACAUAGUUUACGAGAAUUAGUACAUCCAAAGUUUGUUUUUCAUGAAUCACCCAAGAAUAGGCACAUCAAGAACCAUGUGCUGCAGAUUACUUAAAGUGGUGAACCAUAUCCAAGGAUGCUAUUCCUCGAGAAUCAGAGAGCGUAACAAGGCCCCCCAUUGCCGAUCGUGAUAAGGAUUUCUUGGAGGGCAUAAGGUAUCUUUGAUCGACGAGAACGACCUCACCAUGCUGCAUGCAUGGAUCAUAUUUAUCUCUUCUGUUUUCGAAACGGGUGUUAUCUGCGUGGACCAUGCAUGAUUGCAUGGAUGAAGACAAGACUUAAUUCAAGCAAGAAAUUCUCCCUAGCUAUGUGCGAGAAUAGUACAAUACCACCAUCGAUCUGCACAUCAGUACAAAUAAUUGUGGAAUGUGUGUACUGUGUAGCCAUGCAUUGCUCCCUGAUUUUCUUUCGGACAUUCUUUGGGGAACCUGAUGUGUUCCCAUUAUUCCCAUCACUGGGAAUACCCUGCAAUAAUGCUUCCUGGAUCGUUUCUUGGCUCGUACAAAACGCAGGAAUAUGCCUGCAUUAUUACACUUUAGUUUGCGUGUUAUGCGUUAUUAUACGAAGCGGUUUGUGUAUAUCUGCGGCAUGCUUAGUACUAAUGCUCUGUGAUAUAUUCCGGGGAGAAUAUAUAAUCCGCGAAAUCGUGAUGGAAGAUGCAAUUUUUUGUGUCUCAUAAAGUAGCGGUGGAAGGUACUCUGCGCAGCCAAUAAGAACGUGAUUCUAGCAAAGACAUAUGUUCCUCUCGCUACCUAAAAUCACGUCAUAUAUUGUUCUUUCUUGAGGAUUAGCAUCUAAGCAAGGGAUGGGGCCUUUUUGGGGGGAAAUUUUGUUUUUGCCACUCUAGAUUUUGACAUUUCACUUUUGCCACUCUUAGCUUUUGACAAUUAUCACAAUUGUCAUUUUAUGACAAAAGCAAAAUAAUUUUAUUCACAUUUUCCACUAUUAAAUUUUACAAUGUAUCACAAUUGCCGCCCUGAAUUUUUUUUUAUGCCACGUAAUGACAAAUGUGAUAAUUGUUAAAAUCUAGGAGUGAUAAAAGUGAAAUGUCAAAAUCUAGAGUGGCAUGAGAAAAAUUGACAAAAGCUAGUGUAGAAAAACAAAAUGUCCCCCUUUUUUGGCUCCGCACAUCGCAAUGGUCCUGGAAUGAUCAAUAAAUUUGUUAAAUGUAAUUAAAAAAAUUGUUCUUUCUUAUGCUACUCGGGUGUUGUGUUUUUGUGUAAAUUUUCAUGGUAAAAGGUAUAUUUGUGUGCCGUGGUCAAACAUAAAUAUCUUGUGCUCUAAAGAAGCAGCUUGCAAGCUCUAACUUUUUCUUAAUUUUAACAGAUGGCAAAGAUAAAUUCAUAAGAAAUUACAUGCAUACAAAGGACAUGAACAUGUAUGUGUGCAACCUUUUUCAUAACCUUUUGACAUUUGAUAAAUAAACUAGAUAUUUGCCUGUUCGUUGCUACCGGGUAUAAAUAUUCUAGCACAUUAGCCCAUAGUUUAUUUUUCUGUAUUAUAUGAUUGUGUAAAUACAUAUUUACCAAAUUCUGCCCAUGAUUUUAUUUUGAAUCAUUUAUUGACUUGAUAAAUAAAUAUAGUUUAUUUGUUAAGUAAAUAAAAGAUGUUACAAUAAGGCGGUUUUCAAGGAAUGAUCACCAAGAAAAAAUAUGGAAUGUUGAGCACUCCACCUAGUAGGAAAAAGAGCUCUAAUCUUUUUUAAGUAGUAUAGAUAGAGAUAGAGUUUUUUUGGUUCUUUAAUAUAACAUGUAUUUAUGGCUAGCCCAAUUCCCCUUUUCACCUAGGACAUGUUCGAUGGGGCUGUUUUUAGCGAGCCAGUUUCCCUGGGCGUAAUUUCGCCGUGUGAGAUGCAUUGGAGAAGGACAUAAGAUUCCACAUUCUUCCCUCUAACAUGGUUUCCUCUUCCGCAACAACAAUGCCGGUAUGAACCCCAAAACCUAAGGAUAAGAUGAAGUGGUUACAUCAUGGCCAUGUUGAUGAUUACAUAUCACUAACAGUGGUAGUUUUGUAGCAAUUUAGGGUUAUCAUCCAUUUCAAUAGAUUGGGAUUGCAUGCAUGAAGAUUUAGGGCAAUGUCUUUGACCGUGAGAAAAUAUGUAUGCUCGAUUUGGGAGGGGAUAAAUGGGCCAACAAUUGAGGUCUCCAUGCAUGUUUGUGUGAUCAAUCUUUACUUUGUUGAUGUUCUUGAAUUGCACAUUCUUGAGUUGGUUGCAGAUCAUCUUCUGACAAUGCUCCCGAGGGCCACAUGGAUGCUUUUGUUGUGGAUCCAUGUUAUUCCAUUGAGUACGGUUGAUUGUAUGCGCUCAUGGGAUUGGUUUCACAGGAGUGGUCUUUAGUGCUACCUAUCUGCAUGAUCUCACUUCUAAAAUUAGACAUUACAACACGAGGCACUUGUAUGAAUGAUGAUAUGUCUUUUGAUGGGAACGGUUAAAACACUGCGCAUGCGGUAAGAAAGAGCUCCAAUUUUAAUGGGUCGAUGGACAACGAAAACUUUGGCAUGCUCUUUUUAUGGUUGGCACCUUCUCCCCAAACUUGUUUAUGUGUGCGAAAUUUCAUACAUGUUUUCAUGAUAUGUAAAUUAUUAAAACAAUAGACCUUUUGUGGGGAAGAGCCGGAAUUGUAGGUUGAACAAAUAAAACUUUGUUAUGCUACCUGUCACAAUUGGAGCCUUGCCCUCACAAUGAUAUGAUAGGCUGAAACUGACACGGAGGAUGAUGAAGAGCAAUGUCCUCCGUCGUGGAGAAGAUCCAAGGGUAACAUGUGGCAAAAGAUUUGAGCACAUGCCCGGUUUUACUUGUCCACUUUGAUCUUCAUCAUCAAAAUGGAGAAACAUAUGGUGAAAUAUUUGAUCCAAGCGUAACAAAUUUCGCCGCAUGUUACCCUUGUAUCUUCUCCACAUAGAUGACAUUGUUCUUCAUCGUCCUCCAUGUAAAUUUUAGCCUAUCAUAUCAUUGUGCGGGGAAGUCUCGGGCCCACAUUCCAUUGAGACAAGGCAUGGCAAGUGAUCAAACCACGAAGUAAAACGGGGCCAUGACCAAAUCCCAAAUAGGAGGCAUAAAGGAUAGGGAAACGUUUCCCUUCGGAGCCCCGGCGGAAGCAACGCGUCGGUCACUCGCUGCCCACACGACCCGCGCGUAUGGCCAUGCAACAUUUUUCCCCUGUGGUGAUCGUUUAAACUUGCUACAACCGGUGUCCAAAUUUGCUACGUUUGUCCACUAAAAAAGUUGCAUAUACGUUUGGUUGCAACCUCAGUUCGUCGGUUUUUUUGUUACAAUCGAUUUUUUUUGCUACAACCGUGUUAAUUUUUGCUACAAUUAGUAUCUUUUUUGCUGCAACCGUUCACUAAAAAGUUGCAUACACGUUCGUCAGAGUUGCAGCCCGAGUUCACCAGAUUGUUUUGCUACAACCCUUAUUUUGUUUUGCUACCACGCAUCAGCUUCGUUUUUUUGUUACGACCACGUUGAUAUUUUUUGCUACAACUAUAUUUUUGUUGCAAGCGUGGACGAAAAUUACUGCAUUCUGGACGAAAUUUGUUGCUUAAUAAAAUUUUGCUGAAUGAAGAUCUAACGGUGCGGCCCGCGCGGCCGGCCGAAAGUUUUGACCGACGCGCCAACGCAGAGCACUGCCUAGGAUAUGACACGUUUGGAUGCAGAGGGCGCUCUGAUCUGGCACAUGAACAUGCACACGUUACUUGCGACUCCGCUCAGCUCAUGAUGUAGGGCGAAAUCGCAACACAGAUGCAAGGAGAAGCUAAUUCCUACCCAGAGAUCAAGCAAAAGCAUGUACAGAAGAUAUGCAAUGCAGUGUAGUCACGGAGAGAAAUUACGCAGAGAAGGUAUAUGAACUGAAAUUACGUGUAACUGACUGAAUGAAUGGACCAAAUCCAACACAAAUGUCACGCAGAGAUGUCAGUGCGCAGCACCCUGAUCAAGGCCGAUCACCACGGUCACCACCGCUGCGAUCGGCAUUGCCAUCCUCGGCGACAACGAGGGCGGGCGGAGCCCUCAGAACUCGCCACGCUCACGUCUGUACUCCUCCAGGCCCAGCAACGACAAUGCCUCCAUGAAAGUGGGUAGGCGGUCAUUGAACAGCAGGGAGGUGCCCAUGACCCGGAGCCUGGGGGUCACCCCGCGGAGCAGCUGCAGGGCCAGCGCGGUGUCGGAGACGGGCUCGCCGCCGGCGUCGACGACGGCGCGGGCCAGGGCCUCGAGGCGGCAGCCAUAGGCGUACACGGACAUGUCCCCCUGCGCGGCGACGCGGAGCUCCAGGGCCGGGUCGAACGCGUCCUCGUCGUCGAACAAGAAGCGCAGCUGGGCCCAGACCUGGCGGGCGGUGCCGUGGGCGGCCAUGACCUCGUCCAGCAGCUCGUCGGAGAUGGUGGUGUAGAUCCAGAGGGCGACGGUGACGUCCACGCGCAUCCACUCCUCGUCACCGUCGUGCGUGGGGUGGGCCUGCUCCUCGACGUGGUCGCCGGCGCCGAACUCGGCGAGCGCGGAGAGCAUGGCGUCCCUCCACUCGGCGUAGUUGUCGGCGUCGAAGUCUAGCUUGGAGGGGACGCGGGUGAGGAUGUCCGCUUUGUGGAUGGAUAAGGGCGCCGGCGGAGAAGCCUCGCCGGACGAGGAUGCGUCCAGAGCGCCCUGGCCGGCGGCGGGCAUCGUGUCGAGGUCAGAGGCGGCGCUCAUGGUGGAUGGGCCGGGAGGAAAGAUUACUCAGAUCCAGAAUUAUCUGCCUGAUUCAUCGAUCAGGUUGUGUACGUGCGUCUUUUAUAGAAGGAAAUAGAUGGACAAGAUUUGGCUAAGUACACAUCUGAAUCUGGACGUUUGCAUGCGAUGCAUGCAGCGGAGGAAGCGGCCGUGGGUUGUUGAGAUCCGCUGGGCUGGCGUGAUCCGGACUUUCUUGCAGCGCUCAGGUACUCGGCUACCUGCGACGAACCUGUCAACUGUCAAGCGCUGGUAUCUGCCAAGAAGAUCAAAUGAUAGCGAGUACAUUUUCUCUAAAAAAAUGAUACUACGUAGUACUACAAGAUAAAUCAUUCACAUAGGUGAAUGGAAGAAGCUCAAUGAUUCUGAGACAGAAAAUGUAGGAGUAUUUGGCAAGCACAGAAAGUAUAGGACAAGAACUUAACUAUCUGGUUUCUGAGCUCCAAAUGUUUUACAGUUUUGACCUGGGUUCAGCGUUUCCUGGUAUAUGCAGCGCUUCAUAAUGGCCACAGCCAUGAUAGAGGACUCGGAUUGGGUCUUCCUUCCCGUACUCCUGGCCAUACUCUGCGAUCGCUAUCAAACCGCCCGCUGCUUCUUCGCGCAUAUAAACAGUGAUCGGCAUCCUGAAACACAACGAUGAUUGAUAUUCUUACUGCCUUUGUACCUCAAUGUUGCAAAGGGGCGAAUUUAAAAACAAAACCUACAAAAGAGCUAUCUUUGUUGGACUACAGUAAUAGAUUCUCAUCGACGUGGCAAUUGGAACAUUCCUCGUUAUUUUUCUAUAUAAUAAUGGGGUGAAGACAGAAAACCACAAUCGCAGCACCUUGAGGUGCGUAUAUACUAGGAAACCAAAUAUUAGAAGAAGAAACAAGGUCAAGGGGGAGUAGCCUUAAACGUCAGACACUCAGACUUAAAUAUUGUGCUACAUCAGUAUCACUGACUUGUGACGCGCGGCUAAGGUAAAAGUGAAACAACUUACUGUAAGUGCUCAAUUAGGAUCAUGCAGUGAUAAAUAGCAAACAGUUUGAAAACAUUCUGAUAUCCUGGCUAAUAGUACUCAUCUUUUAAAGCCUAUCUCAACAGAAAAAUAGUCAAAUUACUCACUGAAGAACAUGAGAAGCCAUGAGCAAUUCUGGCUCUCCUCCCCACACAUGUGGCUUCCUAAUCUGAGAGACAUAUGUAUCGAAAUUGCCCUCAAUAAACCUGCAAAUUGAUGUUACAACAAAGGGUAAGCAUACGUGUAGCACAACAUUGCUGUGAAGAAAGAACAACAGCAGGAUAAGGAACUAACCAUUCAGUCUCUGUCCGUCUCUUGAUAAACUCAUCAGCAACCUAACAAUAGAAAAGUUAUCUACAAAUUUCAGACAUGACUAAGCAAGAAAAAAUAUCUUCAGUGUUGAGAACAAUAUUCAUCAAAAGUAUGACAUCAGCUUUACAUUAUAAACAUACCAAUGUUCUUAAAUCAUCAGCGAGCUUUCUCUGAAGAUUCUCAUUAGGUAUGGGUUUCCCUGACCUAAUGCACUCACCAUGAGCCACAGAACGAAACAAGCAUCUACCGUCCCCAGGANNNNNNNNNNNNNNNNNNNNNNNNNNNNNNNNAGGAAUGCCUGCGGGUCUCGUGUGAGAUAGUCACAAAGUGAUUUUAUGCUUUGACUACGUGCAUAUAAGCAUAAUAUAUAUAGAAGCAAAAUGUUCCACACACUCACCAGUGACAGAAUACUCUGUGUAAACUUUCUUCCCAUGAGCACAACUAGUGGAUGUUUUGGAAUCAAUGUCAUUAUCCACCGGACCCUCAGCAUUUGCUAUCCCAGAAACUGCGAAACUCAAGAAAAGUGCAGUGCAUGUACCUCCUAUUUUUUGUGCUGAACUUCUGGUUGUUCGCGAGUUCCAGCUAAUACUAGAAAACUUGCGAUGUGAGGUCAUGUCAAGCUUAGCAUGUAGGAUACGAUCUCUCGCUGAUAAUCCAUGUUUAGACUGUUGCUCCAAGCAGGCAAAGCAUGCCCCAUUUUGCAGACGAGAUGAUGUUGUGCUCUUAGGAGAAAGACUAACUAACCCCAUUUUUGUGUGAUAACUGACUGCAUGUGAGCGAGAAUGCUUCCAGAAGGCCAUGCUCUGUGACAAUCCUCCUAGUAACUGACCAGGCUGAGAAUACAUGGUAUAAGUGCAGCGUUGCAAACAUAUAGCGGGCGUGUAACGCAGCAGCAUCCGCUUCCAGUGGCACCAAGUAUAAACUGAAAAACAUGGUCAGAGGACCAGGUAAGAAUUAGUGGAACAUGGGACAAUUGAUUUCAUCUCAAAUAAAAACAAGACAGCACACUGAAGUAGAUGCAUCAUGUGACAGUAGCAUCACUUUAAGAUGACCAACACAUGUUGCAGAAGAGCUAUAGAUUGUAUAUAUAAGUAUGCAAUUUUGCUAUGAGAAAAUACUCUGCCAGGCCAGGAGAUUGAGAGCAUAGAGCCUGAUGAACAAAUCGACCUUUAGCAAAUUGGCAUCACUCCUUUUGGCUUUGACGACAAAAUAACAGGAAGAAAGGUCCCUGUCUGAAUAUAUGAAAUUACUAGUUCGAACAUACUGAGCACACACUUGACAGAGUAUGCUAUAACGAAACUGCAUACAAGCUAAACCUGUGGACUUCCCAGAAUGUGCUACUACAACAACUGAAUUCCCCUCACAAACCAUGAACAUUUCAAGCACGAGCAGCAAACUGGUCAGCAGAAAACCGAGCUGUUAGUGCUACCACGGAUCCCUGUAGACAGCAGAUAAGGCCACCUCGCCAGUAGACACACUGGACUUGAGCACUCAAAAGAUCACAGCAAGGCAGCACCGGAGGCCAUGGGCAAUCUACGCUUCAUACUAUCAAGUUCCUGUGCACCUACUAUAGUGGAGCGAAGGUGGUACAGAUUACUAGUAUUUCGGAGCAGCCCGGAUUAGACACCGGAGAGAACGGGGGAUUCGCACCUUCAGACUUGGGUCUCCGGAUCGAGCCAAUCCGGCGGGGGGCGGGGAGAUGCGAGGAUGGGGCGGGGACGUGGGUAGCAGGGAGGCCGGAGAUGCUCAGGCUCCGCAGAGGCAGGAAGAGGCGGAGGGGAUUGGGGUCUACUCUCGCCGGAUGGAGCCGAGGAGGCGACGAUGGCUGUGGCCCGUGGGCUCUUGACGGGCGCAUGGCGAAUGGCCCGUUCGUGCGAGUUUUCAUUGCCGUUAUACAAUAGUGGCCCACAGUGUACGUAAAUAGGAGCUUUGUAGGGUUUUGGACUUUGGCUUACAACCCCUUUUUUUAGCAAAUGAGCGCUGCGUCGGAAGAAUUUCAAGACCAUUUGAAAUGGGAUAAGAGCAUGUCACUUGACGCUCUCUCAGAUUCCACCAUGAAUCUCCCUCCGUUCCAUAAUUCUUGUCGUUGUUUUAGUUUAAAUUUGAACUGAAAAAUGACAAGAAUUAUGGGACGGAGGGAGUAUUUUAAAGGAUUUUUUAGAAAAAUUUAAUUUCCAUAGAUUUUUUUUUGGUUUUUGGUUAUCAUCAGUCUUUAUUCGCUUUUUGAUUUUUUUUAAAUUAAAAUUUUGUGUGAAAAAUGCAUUUUUCAUCCGUAAAAGGCACGUCCAUGCUUUUUGGAAAUGUUUUUUUUUUGUGAGAGCAGGGUCGUGUCUAUAGAAAAUGAAAAAAUACGGUUUUUUCCUUUGUGAGAGGUAUCGUUUUGCUUCCGCAAACCUCGGAACCAAAAAAAACGUGUUUUUUCUUCCGCGUGAUCUUGAAAACGAAAAAACAUGUUCUUUUGCUUUAGAGAGGCACGAUCGUGCCUCUCUUAAACGAGAAAAAUGUGUUCUUUUUUUCUUUCUUAAGAGGCACGGGUUUAGGUUUCAUGGAGGCAUGAAUUUACUUCCACAAGACGCACAUUCAUGACUCUUUCGGAAAUGAAAAAAACGUGCUUUUGGUUCGGAUUUUUUGUCUAGUUUUUUCUAUAAAAACAAAAUUCAUCAAAACAUAUCAACAUAGGAUGUAGUUUUAAAGAUUUUGAUAUGAGGAAUGCAACGACGAAACGGUUUGAGAUUUGUAUGCACGAUUUAAGAGAUAAAACAAUCUAAAUAAAUGUAUCUCCGAUUUUUUUUGGAAAACUCGCAGGUUGUGACAACUGACGCACAUGCAGUGUGUCACUUGUCAUAACCUGGAAGGUGAGAGUUUUUGUUAGGGAUACUGGGGAGGUAAGAAUGACCUUUACAAAUAAUGCUUCUUAAUUAUUGAGUUCGGAUGACGGGCUUUCAUGAUAUUUUAAAUUUUUUUAGUCUUCACAAUAUUUUAAUGGAUGGGACCUGUUUUGAGUAAACUUGCUGACGGGCUACGGCCCGCAUAGUUUCUGGUUGCUCCCAAAGGCAACCCAACUACAUGGGCCUGCAUACUCAAAGAAAAAAAUACACGGGCUUUGCUGUUAGAUAGAUAGAGCGAGCGAGAAGCCCUAGAAAAGGGAAGAAAAAUAGAGCGAGCAAGCAAGGCCGCCGCCGACCCGAGGAGCUAUCGCCGCCGUCGUACCAUGGGGCUGCUGGCGCUCCAUCGCCUCAUGUCCGUGCGGCAGGACCGGUACACCUGAUCCCGUCGUGGUAAGCUGCCGCCUCUCGCCNNNNNNNNNNNNNNNNNNNNNNNNNNNNNNNNNNNNNNNNNNNNNNNNNNNNNNNNNNNNNNNNNNNNNNNNNNNNNNNNNNNNNNNNNNNNNNNNNNNNNNNNNNNNNNNNNNNNNNNNNNCUGAACCUGCGUGGCAUGAGACCUGGGUUUUUCCUUGUCAACUCGUGUCAAUGUCUGCACUAUCCAUGACAUGUUAGACCCAGCUAGUCUAGGAACAUAUUCAGAGAGGAGCAGAGUGCAUCGAUGGUAUUUUCAUGGGCAAAUUGCCGAAGGUAGCUUACAGGAGGAGGCACCUAAGCCGACCAGGAACACUGGCGGCGCAGAGUGGGAAACCCUAGAAAUAUCACAUGAGCUCCACAAGCUGAGAAUCAUGGCUUUAUAGCCAAACAAACGCAUUAAAAAUGAUAAAGCAUGGUAAGAAAGGUGGCCGGCGCUCGACGCUGGUGCCGGAUGGCUAUAGCGACGCGGGAGCGAAGCGCAACCCUUGGAUUGACGAUCAACGUGGCAGGUUGCGUCUGGCACGAGCGAAGCGGUACGGGAGUCGCUGGAGCGUUGGAUCGUCGAUGGGUGGCUGAGGUUGCUUGGCGCCAUCAUUCAAACUUUGAACAGCCGCGCCUUCUUCCUCGCUGGGUCCUAACAACUCCCCCCGAUUGACAACAGACCUGUCCCCAGGGAUGAAUGUUGGAAACACCUUCUGGAUGAAAGUGGCAUCUUCCCAAGUAGCGUCGCUCUCCUCCAGGUUUGUACACUUGAUCAACCAUCGAACCACAAGUAUUUGGAUAUCGCCCUGAACUCUCGGAAUGAGCUUUCUCUCCAGCAGUUUCUCUGGUUCCAGUAGGAUGGAUCCAUUGGCAUGCAGAAGAGGGAGGUUGGGGUUGGGUAUUGCUUUUGGGCCCAGGUGUUGCUUUAGCUGACUGACAUGGAAGGUGGGUGGAGCUUGCAAUGGUCAGGAAGUAGUAGCUUAUAGGCUACAGGCCCAAUCUUUUGUAUGAUCCUAAAAGGACCAUAAUAUUUGGAGUGAAGUUUGAGGCAUCUGUGAACACUAAGUGUAGUGUGUCUGUAGGGUUGCAACUUGAGGUAGACCAUAUCUCCCACUGCCAGGGAUCUUUCUGAUCUUUUCUUGUCAGCAAAAUGCUUCAUUCUCUCUUGAGCCUUGACCAGGUUAGCUUUAAUUUGAGCAGCAAUCUAUUCUGCAUUAAGGAUGGAAGUGAACUCCUGAGCUUGAUCAGGUGGGUACAGGGCAACUUCUGCUAGCAUUGUAGGGGGUCUGUUGUAAAGUGCUUGGAAGGGUGUAAUUUUCAAAGAUGUAUGAUAGCUGGUGUUGUACCACCAUUCAGCCAAAGAGAGCCAACUCAUCCAUUUGCUAGGUUGAAGGAAGGCCAUGCAUCUGAGAUAGUUUUCCAAGCACUGAUUUACCCUUUCUGUUUGGCCAUCUGAUUGUGGGUGGUAGGAGGUACUCAUCUACAAUUUAAUGCCCAAUCUCUUGAAUAAUUCUUCCCACGGAUUACUGGUAAAGAUCAUGUCCCUGUCUGUAACAAUGACAGAUGGGAGGCCAUGCAGUUUGAAGAUGUUGUGAGUGAAAGCAGUGGCCUGAUGACCCACAAGUAUAGGGGAUCUAUCGUAGUCCUUUCGAUAAGUAAGAGUGUCGAACCCAACGAGGAGCAGAAGGAUCUGACAAGUGGUUUUUAGCAAGGUAAUAUCUGCAAGCACUGAAAUUAUCGGUAUGUGAGAAGAUUCGUAGCAAGUAACAAGUAACAAAAGUAACAAUGGUGCAACAAAGUGGCCCAAUCCCUUUUGUAGCAAGGGACAAGCCUGGACAAAGUCUUAUAGGAGGUAAAACGCUCCCGGGGACACAUGUGAAUUUAUGUCAAGCUAGUUUUCAUCAUGUUCAUAUGAUUCGCGUUCGUUACUUUGAUAGUUUGAUAUGUGGGUGGACCGGCGCUUGGGUGCUGCCCUUACUUGGACAAGCAUCCCACUUAUGAUUAACCCCUCUCGCAAGCAUCCGCAACUACUAAAGAAUAAUUAAGACAAAGUCUAACCAUAGCAUUAAACCAGUGGAUCCAAAUCAGCCCCUUACGAAGCAACGCAUAAGUUAGGGUUUAAGCUUCUGUCACUCUAGCAGCCCAUCAUCUACUUACUACUUACCAAUGCCUUCCUCUAGGCCCAAAUAAUGGUGAAGUGUUAUGUAGUCGAUGUUCACAUAACACCACUAGAGGAAAAACAACAUACAACACAUCAAAAUAUCGAACGAAUACCAAAUUCACAUGACUACUUAUAGCAAGACUUAUCCCAUGUCCUCAGGAACAAAAGUAACUACUCACAAAGCAUAAUCAUAUUCAUGACCAGAGAGGUAAUGAGUAGCAUCAAGGAUCUGAACAUAAACUCUUCCACCAAGUAAUCCAACUAGCAUCAACUACAAAGAGUAAUUAACACUACUAGCAACCUUACAAGUACCAACCGGAGUCGCGAGACGGAGAUUGGUUACAAGAGAUGAACUAGGGUUUGGAGAUGGGAUGGUGCUGAUGAAGAUGUUGAUGGUGAUGAGUCCCCUCCGAUGAGAGGAGUGUUGGUGACGACUGUUAGGGCAUAUUUCUCCUAAGUGGUUUUAGUGAUUGAUGACAAUUGUUGUGCGGACUAAUCUUGUGUCCUCAGCAUUUCCGAAUAUUCUCCUCUAGGCACAAGAUGACUCGACGCCCCUCGGAGGAUCUCCAAGGCGUGAGGAGAAUAUGGUGGCCCUAGUGGCUUAUUGGGGAGCAUUGUGCCUCCACACCGCUCCAACGGAGACGUACUUCGUGUCAAAGGGAAGGAACUUCGGUAACACAUCCUCGUCUUCAUCGGUUCCACUUGUGGUUAUCUCUUACCUUUACUUUGUAUAUGUUGGUGUUGUAGAGUAUCUCCUACGUGCUUCGUUACUCGUUACUAAGUAGCAUCAUAUAGGUUGUCCUCCUAGUGCCAUGUUAGUGAACCUUUAUGAUUGCUACUCCGUAUUUAUUUAGAAAAGCUAAAACUUGGUAGUUGCCUAUUCACCCCCCUCUAGUCAACCAUAUCAAUCCUUUCAAUUGGUAUUAGAGCCACGUCUCUUUAUUAAGGUUUUCACCACCCGAAGAGAAUGGAAGGCGAAGAGGGAGUUCCCCAUGGGCAACCCGAGGCCAUGGACUUGACUUCGGUCACAAGGGACGACUUGAAUACGGCUAUGGCCGCCCUCAAGACGUCCUUGACGAAUGAAGUCAAGACCAUGCUUAAAGAGUUAAUUGAGGGAUUUAAAAGUCCACCCGAACCGGCGUUAGUGGUUAAACCCACCAUCACUGAUUCGGAGGCCAAUUCCUCUAAGGAAGCGGCUAAAGGUAUGCGACCUUCCUCAUCUCUCGAAAAGGAUGGGACUGGAACCUAUGCCUGAGUUCCACCUCCCAUGGUCUAUGGAGGACUUGUUCCCACACCGCGUCUUAAUCCUGUUGGUCCUCCUCCUAAGCUUGUUAAGGGUGAUUUUGCUAACUGGGUGUUUUCUAUUAAGUCUCAUUUGAAUCACAGCUCAACAAACUUAUGGAGAAUCAUCGAGCAAGGCUACUAUCCUCAUGACCCAAGCAACCUCACUCCAAGAGAAGAAGCGGACAAUAUAUAAUCACUCCGCAUUGUUUAUUUUACAGUCCGCCAAAGUUGUCAGAAUCGCGAUUCUGAAUCGGAUCGGAGCUCCGUUGCUAGGAUCGUGAAUCGUAGAAUCUUAACUAUCAGGAUCGUAGAAACUUAGAUUCUAUUAGCAAAAUCGUAGAAUCGGAGGGGCUAGUUUGGAUCGUAAGAUCGUAAGAUUCUAAGACUUGAGUCACGAUUCUGACAACUUUGCAGUCCGCAGUACCGCCUGAAGAUCUUCCUCACUUGCGCCCCUUCUCUCUGGCCAAGGACUGUUGGGAGCACAUUAUGGUGCUAUACAAGGGAAGCUCUAGCAUUCAACAGUCAAACUAUGAAGUAGUACUUGAUCAGGCUGAUGAGUUUCUAAUGAAGGAAGAUGAGGACCCUCAUGAUCUCUAUCGGAGGGUGACUGCUAUUGUUGUUGCUCUCAAGGAUCAUGGGAGCAAGGAUGUGGAUGACACAUGGGUCAAGCGCAAGUUUCUUAAGGCCAUCAUGCCUUUCAACAAAGCCAUGUCAUCACUCAUUCGCCAAUGACCAGAUUUCCACUCGUUGUCUUCCAGUGAGGUGUUGGAUGAAUUCAUUGCAAUGUCAAUCAUGAACGAGACCGUGACAAUGCACUUGCUCGAGUUCGGUCAAAGACAGCUUCACCUAACCUUGCUUUGAAGGCAAAGGCUACUUCUGAAGAAGAAGAGGAGGAUGAAGAAGAGGAGAGCUGCCCUGAAGACACUAAGUAUGCUUAUCAUGAGCACAUGGCUCUUGCGUCGAGGCAAUUCUGGGGCAACAAGAGGAACUCAAGACCCAACUUCACCAAGAACAACUCAAGUGGGUUCAAACCCAAGCAACGAGCCAGGACAUGCUAUAACGGUGGUAAUGUGAGCCAUUUCGUGGCGGAAUGUCCUUAUGAGAAGAGGGAAGACAGCGGAAGCAAGCUCAUUCGCAAGGAAAAAACAAAGUCAUUCCCAAGCAAGAACAACUUUGUCAAGAAAUCCCAUCCAAAGGGUAUGGUGGCACUUGAAGAGUACCCCUCCGAUGAUAAUGAUGAUGAUGAUGUGGUGGCAACUGCGACUGUCGCCAUUGCCACUCCUUCUCCCAAGAAGGUGUCCCUCUUCAACGCCCCAACGAUAAUCACAUCGCCAAGUGCCUCAUGGCUAAAGGUAUCACUCAGGUAACACCCAACAUUAAGACCAACAUCACUAGUGCUCCCUCAUUGUUGAAUUGUGUUGAUGAUAGUGAUGUUGUGGAACUUAAUGAGCAUGAUCUUGACAAAUUUCUGUGUACUAUCAAAGGAGAAACCAAGAGGCACUUUUUUGCCAUUUUGGAACAAUUGGUGAGGCUAAUGACCUCAUCGAGUCUCAUGAGGAGACCAUCUCCGAGAUGCAAGGUCAUAGUUGUGACUAUGCCUAUGAUAUUGCCGAACUUUCUAUUGCUCUAGAAACAGAGCGCACUCUUCGUUUGGCUCCUGAGGAGUCAUACAAUGAUGAUUGCGCUAAAUUGCAAAAGAAACUAGAUCAUGCUACUAUUCUUACUCGUAUGCUUAAGUCUGAAAAGGAUGCUCUUGGGGUUGACCAUGACAGACUCAAAAUGGAGUUUGACACACUUGACAAGGCUCACAAGGCCUUGAAAGGUAGUCAUUUCUCCCUGAAAGAGUCUCAUGAUCAACUUCAAGCAAAGCUUACCAAGGAAAUCUCUACUUGUCCUUCUUUUGUUUUAAUUGAUAAUGCUUGUACAACUAACCCUUGUUGUGAGCAUGUACAUCUUGUGGAGGAAAAUGCCAAGUUGAAGGAUAAACUUGAGAAGGGCCUUGUGUCAUGCAUCCAAAGCAAGAAGAUCCUGAACGACCUUUUGAGCAAUCAAAAGGGUGUGGUAGGAAAGGAGGAGCUUGGACUUACAUCUAAGUCUAAAAGAAAAAAGAAAGAACAGGAACAACAGAUCCCCCACCCUCAUGGACAUCUUUGUCAAAGAGGACGAAGGAACUCAGGAGGUGAACAGGAACAAGGUGGAAAAUGGGAGCAUCAAGAAGGGCAAAACCAUUCCUACCAACACGGCCGACAAACUAAAUCCUUCCUAUGUUUAUGGCGUGCUGGUGAUGGGCAUGUUUAUGCCAGAUUUAUUGGUUCUUACUAUGAGUACAUUGAAUGUGCUAUUUGGGUUCCUAAGACCCUUAUCUCUAACAUUAAAGGACCCAUUCAAAAAUGGGUACCUAAAACCAAGCCUUGAUCUAUUACAGGAGUUUGCUUCCGGAGGGGUGUCAUGGUUGCUCGAUAGUGGAGCAACAAAUCAUAUGACCGGAAGCAAGGUGGAUGUGCAUCCUUCCCCAUCUAUGCCCACCCAUGUCCAAUUCGCCGAUGCAUCAUCGUCAAAGGUAUUGGGAUUUUGUAAGGUGGUCAUCUCUCAAGAGUUAUCUAUUGAGAAUGCCAUGCUUGUUGAAUCCCUUGCUUAUAAUUUACUUUCGGUUCGUCUACUUGCAAUCAUGGGCUUCUCCACAUUCUUUAAUCUUGAUACUGUGGUCCUUUUGUGGAGCAAGACUCUUAAAGUAGCCUAUGUUGGACAUGUCGAAAAUGAUCUCUAUGUGGUGAAAUUUUCAAAGCGACCCACUAAGACUGCGACAUGUCUAAUGGCUAAAGUUGAUGUGGGCUGGCUUUGGCAUCGCCGACUAGCCCAUGUCAAUAUGAGAUGUUUGCAAAGUCUCCUUAAAGGGGACCAUAUUCGUGGACUAACAAAUGUGAGUUUUGCCAGAGAUCGUGCUUGCAGUGCCUGCAUUGAAGGAAAAAUCCAUGAAACUGCUCAUCGUCCAACGACUCUCAUUUACACUAAGAGACCGUUGGAGCUCCUUCAUAUGGAUCUCUUCGGUCCCCCAUCAUUUGAUAGUCUUGGGGGCAGAAAGUACUGCUUGGAUUGUUGAUGAUUACUCAAGAUACACUUGGGUAUAUUUCUUCAAGAGGAAGAGUGAGACUCAACAGACUGUUAUCAACUUUGCUAAUGAAGCUCAACGUCAACAUGAAGCAAAGAUUUUGAUGAUCAGAAGUGACAACGGCACCGACUUCAAGAACUACACCUUGGAUGAGUUUCUAGGUGAUGAGGGAAUAAAACAUCAAUAUUUGGCACCAUAUACCCCUCAACAAAAUGGUGUGGCAGAAAGGAAGAACCGGACACUGAUGGACGCUGCAAGAACAAUGAUGGCGGAAUUGAAAUCUCCAUAUAACUUUUGGGUCGAAGCCAUCAACACAGCAUGUCAUGCAUCCAAUCGGCUCUAUAUCCCAAAUCUCCAUAUAACUUUUGGGCCGAAGCCAUCAAUACAGCAUGUCAUGCGUCAAAUCGGCUCUAUAUCCGCAAAGGCUUGAACAAGACCCCAUAUGAGAUUCUCACCGGAAACAAACCCAAUCUCAAGUACUUCCAGGUAUUCGGGUGUAAGUGUUUCAUUCUCAGGAAAGGUGCACGUUUAGCUAAAUUUGAUUCUAGAGCACAUGAGGGCAUCUUUGUUGGUUAUGCUACAAACUCUCAUACUUACCGUGUCCUCAAAAAGUCCACCGGACUCAUUGAGGAGACGUGUAACGUGAAGUUUGAUGAAAAUAAUGGCUUCCAAGUGGAGCAAAGUGGUCUAUCUGAUGUAGGUGAUGAAAUUCCUCCCCAAGCCAUAAGAAGAAUGGGGAUUGGUCAAAUACUCCCCAUUGAGGAACCCCUUGUGGCCGAAGGAGAAGGACAAUGCUCUACUCAAGUGGAGCCAUCAUCCUCUCAAGUCCCACACGCUUCCGAUGAACAAAGAGAAGACCCUCAACAAGUUGAACAAACUCAAGAUCAAGACCAAGUGACUAAAGAUGGUGAUGUGCCCCAUGAAGUACACGCACUCACCCAAGGUUCCGAACCGGCUCAAGAUCAAGAUCAAGUGCAACCACAUGAUCCAGACCAAAUAGAAGCACAAGAUCAAGAUCAAGAGCAACCACAAGAACAAGGACAAACUAGUGAACCUGCUCAAGACGAAGAUCAAGUUGAUCAGGAUGCUGUCUCUCAGUUCCUUUCUGCGGCGUCUAAAAGGGGUACUGGUGCCAAGGGAAGAUCAAAACGCAAGGGCACGCAAAGCAAUCAAGUCGAUGUUCCCCAGUUAUCCAAUGAAGAACUCUUGGAGCGUUGCGCAGCCAAGAUUGCAAACAAGCUAAGAGUCAAGUCACAUAUUAUGAAGAAUGUACUUGGUAGUUUGAAAAAGGGAGUAUCCACUCGUCAACAAAUUUGGAAUUAUUGUGAGCAUCACACGUUUAUUUCGUAUUGUGAACCUCAACAGGUACAGGAAGUGCUCGAUGAUGAGGAUUGGCUUAUGGCCAUGCAUGAAGAACUCAACAAUUUCGAGCGCAAUCAAGUCUGGGAUUUAGUGCCAAGGCCAAAGGAGGAACAUAAUGUCAUCGGGACCAAAUGGAUCUUCAAAAACAAGCAAGAUGCCAAUGGAAUUGUGAUUCGAAACAAGGCAAGAUUGGUGGCUCAAGGCUACUCCCAAGUCGAGGGUAUCGACUACGGUGAAACCUUUGCCCCUGUUGCUCGUUUUGAAUCUAUUCGCAUGAUGCUUGCAUUUGCUUCUCAUCAUAAUUUCAAAAUACAACAAAUGGAUGUGAAAAGUGCCUUUCUUAAUGGUCCUUUAAAUGAGUUGGUAUAUGUCAAACAACCCCCGGGGUUCGAACAUCCCAAGCUCUCCAAUCAUGUGUACAAACUUAAUAAGGCACUCUAUGACCUUAAACAAGCCCCACGUGCGUGGUAUGAGUAUCUUACUGAGUUAUUACAUGAUCGUGGGUUUGAAAUUGGGAAGAUUGAUCCCACUCUUUUUACUAAGAGGGUCAAAGGGGAUUUGUUCAUAUGCCAACUAUAUGUUGAUGACAUCAUUUUUGGUUCUCCUAACGAAUCUUUCAAUGAAGAAUUUGCUGCACCGAUGACUGAGAAAUUUGAGAUGUCUAUGAUGGGUGAGUUGAAGUUCUUCCUCGGGUUUGAGAUCAAACAAGGCUUAGAAGGGACUUUCAUUAAACAAGCCAAGUACACUCAAGACAUGCUCAAUAGGUUUGAGCUAGAGGAUGUCAAGCCGGUCAAGUUUCCCAUGCCAACACGAUGCAAGCUUGACAGUGAUCCCAAUGGUAAAGGAGUGGAUCAAAAGGUACAUCGCUCCAUGAUUGGAUCCCUCCUUUAUCUUUGUGCAUCUAGACCUGAUAUCAUGUUGAGUGUAGGGAUUUGUGCAUGGUUUCAAUCUGCACCAAAGUAAAGUCAUUACAUGGCUGUGAAACGAACCUUUCGAUAUUUGGCUCAUACCCCAAACUUUGGUCUAUGGUAUCCCAAAGGAGCAAACUUUAACCUAGUGGGCUAUUCUGACUCAGAUUGGGCAGGCGACUAUGUGGAGAGGAAGUCAACCUCUUGAGGAUGCCAAUUCCUUGGUCGUUCACUGGUAAGUUGGUCUUCAAAGAAGCAGAAUUGUGUAUCACUAUCCUCCACCGAAGCUGAGUAUGUAGCAGCUGCAAGUUGUUGUGCCCAGUUGCUAUGGAUGAGGCAAACUUUAAAGGACUACGGUGUCACCUGUGACAAAGUGCCUCUCCUAUGUGACAAUCAAAGUGCUAUCAAGAUUUCUCUCAAUCCGCUUCAACACAGCAAGACCAAGCACAUUGAUAUUCGCCAUCACUUCAUUCAUGAACAUAUCAAGCUAGGUGAUAUUGAGAUUCACUUCAUCAACACUGAAGAGCAACUUGCAGAUAUUUUCACUAAGCCCCUAGAUGAAGCAAGGUUCCGGGAGUUAAGGCAUGAGCUAAAUAUCAUUUAUUCAAGUAAUGUGGAUUGAAACUAGGCACUUUGAACCUCACUCUACAUUACAUCUUGCUCUAGAUGUAGGCAUGGACAUAGGGUGAGUGUUGUUCUCUCAAUGAACUUUCCCUCCCCCCAUUAUGCAUAAAUCGAUCAAGUCUUUCACUUUGGCCAUCACCGAAUGGCACUUCUACUUCAAAGACGAGAUAUGGUCAUGAACCCAAGGAUAAUUCUUCGCGGUGUCAUACCAUUUGUCUCAAACAUUGGUGGCCUAGGCCAUCGCCCUCUCCCCUGGAGUCUCUGUGUUGUUUCUCUUUCUUCGGUGUGUCUUUCUUGUUUCCGUGUUUUGUUUUCUCUUGGCUUGAUCAAGUUUUUCCACCACCUAAGGAGUAGAGAGCUCUUUUUGGCCAUUUUUGUGACUUCAAGCACGGUACUACCGCCCCCAGCACGGUAGUAAAAUUUUACUACCGCUGGGGGAGCGGUACUACCGCUCACCAUGCGGUACUACCGCCCCCAGCACGGUACUAUUUUUUUACUACCGUUGUGGGCGCGGUACUACCACACGUAGAGCGGUACUACCACGAUGACCGCGGUACUACCGCGCCGCCUCGCCCAGGGGACUAUUUAAAGGGCCGGGAGGCCUUUCUUUUUCCCCAUAUGCCCCGAGUUCUUCCUUGUCUCUCUCUCUCCUCUCCUCAAAAACUGCCCUAAGGCAUCACCGGAUCUCACUAUCCGGUAUCGUCCUCUGAUUCCGACCGGUGGGACUCUUCCCCACACGCCAUGGAUACCGGUACUGCCCCUCAUCUGCAAUCUUAUGCUUUGUUCGUUGAUUCCUUCUAGGGAUAGGGCAUAUGGUCUCAUGGCAUCGUGAUUGGGAGUUAGUGGUAGCUUUUUGGGUAAUAUGAUUCCUUGCAUAGGUGGUGUGUGUGCCUAGGCCUGCAUAGGAUCCAUAUCUACGGUUUUCAAUCUACUCCACAAGUUUUUCCCUGUCAAAUUUGAUUAGAUCUGUGAUUAGGCCGUCCCUUGCGGUACUACCGCCCCUCGUGGCGCGGUACUACCGCUCGAGGAGCGGUACUACCGCUCCACCUGCGGUACUACCGCUCCCCUUUGUGCACACGCACUGAUCUAUUGUGUUUUAUGGGGUUUUUGGUCGUUCUUGUUCAUUGCCUUGACUUGUUUCUCCCUUCUUUCGUGUUUUGUGUGUUGUUUUGUGUAUCCCAGGUGGUGGUUCCCGUCGUUCCAACCCGUCUCGCACUGCCAGCUCCAAGCGACCUUCCUCUGAUCCGUCUGAAGGCUCCAAUGCCCCCAAGCGCUCGUUCAAGAAGCCUGCUCCAAAGAAGCCCUCAGUCAACUGGAACACUAUGCCGCUUGCCGAGUUCCAACACCGUCGCAAGCUCAACCCAUAUGCCAACAAUAGGGAGGAGUUCCCUGGCGGUGAACAGUUUUGGACUCGCGAUCAAUUCUUAAUCUAUGAAGACAUGCUCAGAUCAAAGGUGUUGGGGAACGUCGCAUGGGAAACAAAAAUUUCCUACGCGCACGAAGACCUAUCAUGGUGAUGUCCAUCUACGAGAGGGGAUUUCCGAUCUACGUACCCUUGUAAAUCGCACAGCAGAAGCGUUAAGAAACGCGGUUGAUGUAGUAGAAUGUCCUCACGUCCCUUGAUCCGCCCCACGAACCGUCCCGCGAUCAGUCCCACGAUCUAGUGCCGAACGGACGGCACCUCCGCGUUCAGCACACGUACAGCUCGACGAUGAUCUCGGCCUUCUUGAUCCAGCAAGAUAGACGGAGAGGUAGAUGAGUUCUCCGGCAGCGUGACGGCGCUCCGGAGGUUGGUGGUGAUCUUAUCUCAGCAGGGCUCCGCCCGAGCUCCGCAGAAACGCGAUCUAGAGGUAAAACCGUGGAGAUAUGUGGUCGGGCUGCCGUGGCAAAGUUGUCUCAAAUCAGCCCUAAAACCUCUGUAUAUAUAGGGGGAAGAGGGGGAGCCUUGCCUUGGGGUCCAAGGACCCCCAAGGGGUUCGUCCGAGCCAAGGGGGGAGUCCUCCCCUUCCAAACCGAAUCCAACUAGGUUUGGAAGGAGGAGUCCUUCCCCCUUUUCCCACCUCCUCUUUUUUUUCUCUUUGAUUUUCUUCCCAUGGCGCAUAGGGCCUUCUUGGGCUGUCCCACCAGCCCACUAAGGGCUGGUGCGCCACCCCCAAGGCCUAUGGGCUUCCCCGGGGUGGGUUGCCCCCCCCCCCGGUGAACACCCGGAACCCAUUCGUCAUUCCCGGUACAUUCCCGGUAACUCCGAAAACCUUCCGGUAAUCAAAUGAGGUCAUCCUAUAUAUCAAUCUUCGUUUCCAGACCAUUCCAGAAACCCUCGUGACUUCCGUGAUCUCAUCCGGGACUCCGAACAACAUUCGGUAACCAACCAUAUAACUCAAAUACGCAUAAAACAACGUCGAACCUUAAGUGUGCAGACCCUGCGGGUUCGAGAACUAUGUAGACAUGACCCGAGUGACUCCUCGGUCAAUAUUUAAUAGCGGGACCUGGAUGCCCAUAUUGGAUCCUACAUAUUCCUCGAAGAUCUUAUCGUUUGAACCUCAGUGUCAAGGAUUCAUAUAAUCCCGUAUGUCAUUCCCUUUGUCCUUCGGUAUGUUACUUGCCCGAGAUUCGAUCGUCAGUAUCCGCAUACCUAUUUCAGUCUCAUUUACCGGCAAGUCUCUUUACUCGUUCCGUAAUACAAGAUCCCGCAACUUACACUAAGUCACAUUGCUUGCAAGGCUUGUGUGUGAUGUUGUAUUAUCGAGUGGGCCCCGAGAUACCUCUCCGUCACACGGAGUGACAAAUCCCAGUCUCGAUCUAUACUAACUCAACGAACACCUUCGGAGAUACCUGUAGAGCAUCUUUAUAGUCACCCAGUUAUGUUGCGACGUUUUAUACACACAAAGCAUUCCUCCGGUGUCAGUGAGUUAUAUGAUCUCAUGGUCAUAGGAGAAAAUACUUGACACGUAGAAAACAGUAGCAACAAAAUGACACGAUCAACAUGCUAUGUCUAUUAGUUUGGGUCUAGUCCAUCACAUGAUUCUCCUAAUGACGUGAUCCAGUUAUCAAGCAACAACGCCUUGUUCAUAAUCAGAAGACCCUGACUAUCUUUGAUCAACUGGCUAGCCAACUAGAGGCUUGCUAGGGACAGUGUUUUGUGUAUGUAUCCACACAUGUAUAUAAGUCUUCGUUCAAUACAAUUAUAGCAUGGAUAAUAAACGAUUAUCUUGAUACAGGAAUUAUAAUAAUAACUAUAAUUAUUAUUGCCUCUAGGGCAUAAUUCCAACAGAAGGACAUGACUUAUUUUGGGGAGGCCAUUGCUAUGGUGGAGCAACUUCAGAUUGCGAACCUCAUCUCGUUUCACCAGGAUUUUGAUAUUUCCAUUGUAGCUCACUUCUUUGCUACAGUGCACUUUCACCAGGACGACGCACGUACUAUGACUUGGAUGACAAAUGGAAUGCAGCUGACUGCUACCUGGAAAGACUUCAUGGAUCUUCUUCAGGUCAGGGAUGAGGGCCUCACUACUGCUGUUGGCUUGCACCCCCAUGCCAAGGCCCAAGCCGCUCCAAAGGAGAAGCUGCUCCCAUACCUCUCUGUGAAGCACACCCCCACUGGCGAGGUAUCCUAUGUCAUGAACCCCUUCUUGGAUGUGAUGCACCGGAUCUUUCGCAACACACUGUUUCCCACGGUUGGCAACAAGGACCAGGUGCACUCCUACCUGGUAGACAUGCUCCUCUUGUGUCAGAAAGCGAAGAAUCGUCAGUGUCAGCCCCUUGAUGUUUCUCAUGUCAUGUGGACUGAACUCUACUCUGCAGUCAUUAACCGUAAGGUCCCAAUCUACGGUCCCUACCUAUUCUACUUUAUCAAGGCCACUUGGAACAAGAUCUUCCCCGGGGCUGAGUUUGUUGCUCCUGAUUGGGUCUGCCAUGAGCCCAUCAAGCUGCGUCAGAAAGACAAAUGGGCCAACACCUCCUCUCGUCAGGCUGCCCCAAGGGAUUCUGAUGACGAUCUGUCAGGCGCUGAGGAUGAGGCCCCUCCAGAGGCUCCUCGCCAGGGUGAGGGUUCCCACACAUGUGCGGCACCGUCUUGGGCCACACGGCUCACUGACAGGAUGAAGACCCUGUUCUGUAUGCAGGCCAAGGGCCAGUACAGCACACAUGUUGCUCAGAAGGAGAUUCACCAGCGCGACAAGUUGAUCAUGAGGAAGCUUGACAUACCCUUCUCCAGCGGUUCUGAGAGUGAGAUCACCCCCGAGGCGACAUGGAUGGAGAAACAUCAUCUUCAGUGGGCUGCAUCUGAGGAGGAGGAGGACACCGACGAUGGCUCCAAUGAGGAGUAUCGUGAUGAGGAGGACACCGACUGAUGUUUCUACCACUUGGGUGUUAGGGCUCCUCUCUGCCUUUUUGGUGUUUUGAUGCCAAAGGGGGAGAGAGUGUAGGAUUUGCUUGUUCUCUAGUUUUUCUGGUCUUUUGGUUUGAUAAAACUUUGUUGCUUUCGUUCGCUACUUUUGCUUUAUGGUUGAGACUAAGUCGUCAGAUCCUAUCUUAAUGUGAGAUAUAUGUUUUAUCUUGCUUAUCUUCUGUCUCAGUAUUAUCAGUUUUAUCAUUUUAUUAUUAACCUAUGAGACAUAGUAUCUUGUGCCAGUAUUCCUUGGCUCACAUGCUUUGCCAUGCUUCAAUAUUCUUCAUCUCUCGUACGUAUGUAGUAAGGAUGGCUUAGUCUAUAUAAUCUAGGGGGAGUGCUCUCUUUGUGGUUAGUAGUUGGUAUGCACAAACCCAGAGGAAACUAGCCCCCUUGUGAUAUCUUUGAAGUUUGCAUAUGCCUAUAACAAUUUGUUUGUGCAAAUCCAACAUUGUCACCAAUCCACCAAAAAGGGGGAGAUUGUUAGGGCAUAUUUCUCCUAAGUGGUUUUAGUGAUUGAUGACAAUUGUUGUGCGGACUAAUCUUGUGUCGUGAGCAUUUCAGAAUAUUCUCCUCUAGGCACAAGAUGACUCGACGCCCCUCGGAGGAUCUCCAAGACGGAUUUUCUUCUGCAUUUCUCUUCCUAGUUUGAGUCAUAGGAAAGUCUUCUUACCAAGAGGGGGUCCGCGUCGGAAAGGUUUGGGAGGAAUCCUCACGCACAAACCUCAUGCACCCACCCAUAUUUUAGCCUCAAUGGAGCACCAUUGUGUUUUCCUUGCCUAUGUGAAAAAGGGUAAGCGGUAGUACCGUUGUCCCAGCGAUAGUACCGCUCUCAGAGCGGUAGUACAUUUUUACUACCGCUCCAGGAGCGGGACUACCGUCCCAGGUGCGGUAGUAAACUUUUACUACCACUCCAGGAGCGGUACUACCGCCCGAAGAACGGUAGUAGUUUUUUACUACCGCUCCAAGGGCGGUACUACCACCCUCAGUGCGGUAGUAUUAUUUUACUACCGCACCGACGGGCCUUUUCUCGCAUACUUUCCCACGGAGGGGGUGGCGCGGUAGUACUCCCCGGUACUACCGUGGUUGGUGAGGAGCUGAGCGGUAGUACCGCUCGUGCAUUUAUGUGGUAGGUGGGUAACGGUUGGAUCUGCCCCACCUACUAUAUUAAGGCAUCUCCUUCUUCCGUGAGCCCACCUUUAACCUCUCUAAGCUCCAUUGUUUCCCCACAAGCUCAUUUUAGCCCGAUCUCUCUCCCUAGCCAAUCAACCUUGUUGAUUUUCUAGGGAUUGCUUGAGAAGGCCUUGAUCCACACUUCCACCAAAGGAUAUUUGAUUCCCCCUACUAAUCCCUUGCGGAUCUUGUUACUCUUGGGUGUUUGAGCAUCCUAGACGGUUGAGGUAACCUCGGAGCCACAUUCCAUUGUGGUGAAGCUCCGUGGUCUUGUUGGGAGCCUCCAAGCUUUGUGUGGAGAUUGCCCCAACCUUAUUUGUAAAGGUUCGGUCGCCGCC
rnacentral:lncRNA from 1 species